rnacentral:lncRNA from 1 species
CUCUUUACUACUCUACUGGUGCAACAGGACUGCUACUACUCUAACAAGAACAAGAGCUGGAACAGGAACUCUACUUUAUGACUGGAACUGGGGAUUCUACCGUUAUAAGUAAGGGCAACAGGAACAGGGCUCUAAUCUACCUAUGGCAACUGCCAAGCGUAUACUUGUAGCGGGGAAUCAUUACCUUAGGACUACUACCCUUACUUUCAGGCUUGAACGAGUCCGGUCAUAUUCCCCUUUGUCUUGUGUUGGCACUUCCCUAAUUAGCACGUCCUACUCUCACUCAACUCAAAGCGCUUAGCCGGUUACUGCUCUAUUCGGUUUAUGAGGUUUUCUUUAUUCCCCAAUCAACCUUUGCUUACUUUGUUUUGAAACCAUAGGUCGUAGGUUUAGAGAUUAAUUACCGGGUCCUCUGAUCGUCCUGAUACGAGAGAUUCCACCGAUGAUAACAUUUGAUUGCUCAGGUGUGUGGCAAACAUGUCCCCUGACAAAUCACAGAAAAAGAAGGCUUCGCACCGAGAACGAGAAUACCACCUCUGCCCUGGUAAUUUAUGCCCCGUCCUCGAUUAUAAGAUGUGGUUUGCUUCACUUGACUGACUAACACAUAAUCCAAUUAGCCAGAGGAGUUUAGGAGGCAGGCAUGCGUCUAAAUAAGAUAAGAUGGUAUAAGAAUUGACUCUUGGAAGGGCUUUGCGCCUUAGACGUGAAAUGCGCAUUGCUUGUUGAUGGGAAUAGUGCUUAACUCUUCAUUGCUUGUUGAUGGGAAUAGUGCUUAACUCCUAACUUGAGAGUCAUAGAUGCCUAUCGCUCUUCUCUUUGCAAUAACCGCAGUCAGUUUGGGAUAGGAAUGAAGCCAAUUUACCUUACAAGAAGAUCAAUAGGAUUUGAGGAGAAAGAUGUCGAUUCAGAAGUCAAGUCGGAGGGCUACCUCUGAACGACUGAAUUGUUUUACCGCGCUCUACUUUCUUUCGGGGAUGAUCAAGAUGGCCAGUUCUUUCUUUUCUUCUUCGGACCCUCUUCUUUGGUCUAGGAAAGAAAUAACACAGGAACCAUCCCUUUGCUUUUGGUCUCGAAAACAAACCCUUCGUUAGGCAAGACAGAUGGAUUCUCUGCUUUUUAUACCUGAUGCGCUCUCUUUCUCCUAAAACGUCCUUCCCUUCCUUUAACUCUCUAUGUCUGUAGGAUGCUUGCCUUUUCGCAAUCCAUGUCCAGCACGGGGGAUUCCCCUUUCUUUUGGGUCAGUAAUAAAAUCAGGUACCAACGAAUUGGACCACCAAGAACCUGGGGAUCGGGGGUCUACCUUAACCACCUACAGAAAGAGAUAACAGUAUUUUCUGAGUUGCUCAAAUAGCUCCAUCCCGAAGUCGGUAUUUUCUAGGUCAAAUACUCAAUUCGCUACGGUCUAUUUCUACUUGUGAGAAAGAUCUUUUUCUAUCUUUGACAGGAAAUGGCAUAGCUCCAUUCAGUGGAUGGGUCAGUUCGUGGGCUGGGUCUCAGUUGGGUUUCUAAAGUUCUUAGUUCUAAAAAAUGGAUUGUCUAGGUAGUUCUGAAAUCUAAUAGGUCUAUAAAUAUAAAUGAAAGAGGGCCAAGCAACGGGACAAACAACUAAGUAAGCCGGCCAAGCUACUACAGUUCACAGAGCCAGAGCCAGAGAGGGCAGGGAAACAGGCGUAUACUAGACUAGCAACGGGACCAGACCACCAAUAAUCAGAAUUCCACUCAAACAAGAACAGCCCCGAGCUGGCAACUAUCAUACCUCUCCUCAAGCGUAUACUACUUCCAACCGAUAUCAGGUCUUCUUCUCCGCUCCUAUAACUGAAUUCAGAUUGGAGCAAUAUGAGUUUUCUUUCGCUUAGGGCAUCCAUCCCAACUCAAGUCCUAGCCCAAGUCUCACUUUGCUAUCAGCCAAGGAACUACUAAUGUGUAGUGGCAGGAGCGUUUCAUAGCAACCCUGUUUUCCCUAAUAGCUAGGUCAAAAGUCAUUCCUUUUUUGCGUUUUACCGUCUUUUUUGAUAGCGAAGGUGUUUUGCCUCCUAAGGGAUCGGAUAGAAAUGACAAUUUGACGUUUUCCCGGGAUUUUAGAUAGCGAAGUCAUUUCCGCUAAUAGAUGUCCAAUUUCUCAUGAUCAUUUCACGUUUUCCCGGGAUUUUUCAUAGCAUUGGAGUUUUCCCAGCUAGAGCACCCAUUGGGAAUCCAAAGUUGGCGUUUUCCCGUCUUUUUUCGUUGCAAAUAGAGAAAUAGUAUGGGAUGGUACUUCACUUAGACUUCAACUCAGUAUUCCACUGGCAGAACUUCUGCUGUUGGGCCUGGUGUUGGUUCUUUCAAUCGAGUGUUAACGCCUACCUCGACUCAAUGCUAAGUGAAUUAGUUCUUGCCCACCUCGCCUUAAAGCCAAGUAAGUCUAUUAUACCUUAGCAACAUUAGCUACCACCGAUUGCCCUCAGUCAGGAGUUAUAGAAUGGGGAGCUAACUAAACUCAGAAUCAAACUACUAGGGCAAAGACCGAAACCAGGUAGUCCAAGACUGACACAAAGCGGACUUGCUCAUAACGAGUUAUAAUGCAUUUAUUUGCCUUCUAUGUUUUUGUAGUAGUUACUUGGCCCUUGUUGGACCGGUAGGGCAGCUUCGAAGUCAGUAGUGAGAGUGUUUUUUUCUUGGUUCUAUUCUUUGGGGCGUUAUUGGAGUCUAAGAGGUGGUAUGUCGAUUCUUAUAGUUAGUGGGGUUGUUCCCAGUUAGUAAGGUGAGUCCUGUUAGCAGUGGUUCUAUUUGAUAUAUCAGUGUCUUUUAGUUGACUAGUGGAUUCCCAGUUAUUGGUUUGCAUCUUUAUUAGCAGUGGAGCAAGCCAGUAUUCCCAGCUUCAUGAUUUGCAGGAGUAGCAGCAUUCUUACCUGAUGGGAACUAGUUUGAGUUAUCGUAGUAGAAGCACCAGUGCAAUUCUUCUCAAUAGUCGUUCGUUUCUUUAUUCCUAGGUUUCUUCUGAUUAGUAGUGGUUGUGGCCUUGCCCCUAUUAGGGGAAGGUUUAGAAGCACAGGUUUGAGUUUGAAAGUAGGCAGGGACAGACUGCUUUGCUGUAAGUAAAAGUAUUAGAAGCACUAACUUGAGUCUUAGUGGGUAGUGUUCGAUUCCCUCUUUUGAGUUAAGUUAUGAGGAGCACCGGCUGCAUUCUUUUGUGUAGUAUAGUGGUCUUCCCUUCCCGCCGAGGGGGUUAAGUCUUGUAAGUAGCAGCUCCAUUCUUGUUAGUUGCAAUUAAAGUAAGUAAGUAAGGCUACCAUAUUAGAAACUGUAGUGAAGCCUGUGUUCUGUGGUUAAGUCUCUUAGUGCGCUGAACCCUGUUCUUUAGUGAGUCGUUUCUUUCCUAGUUUAGGUGCUGAGUGCGAUUCCCGAGUGCAAUUCUUUCCAGUAGUGAUUUAAUCCUUUGACUUACCUGUUCAAUUCAUAUGCUCUUGUUCUACUCUUGUACACUGGCGUUUCAUUCCUUCCAGUAGUAGCUACAUUCUUUCCAUUAGUCGUUUAGUUCCUUUUUCGUAGGGGUAUGGUUAGUGGGGCAGGUCUUAUAAGCACUAUUACAAGUCCGAGAAGCACUGGUUGAUUUCCUUAUUCUAAGAAGAACAAUGUUUGGAAGCACUAAUUCUGUUCUAUUGGUACAGUGCUACAGAACAAAAGCUAGCAGUAUAAAUGUAGCUAACAGGCGUAGGGCUGAUAAACCGGAGAUAUAAGACUGAGCCCGUUAAGUUUCAGAAAGAGAAGCAGGACAGUUAGAAUCAAAGGCGGUGAAGCAAGACCCGAGGUUAGUAGUAAAGGCGGAAGUCAGUGUUUUGCGCCUAUCCCUAUAUAGAGCGGUAAGAGAGAUAUUCCAUUCCAGUAGUUGGCGAUAAGGGAGAAAGAUAUGAAUUGCCAGUUAGUAGGAGCAGGUCACUUUUCGAAAUCCAAUAUGCAUUUGUCGAACCAAUAGGUACCUAACCUAAUUCUGCCUAUUUUCUUAGUUGACCCUGACCCCCUUAUAUACAAGUGAACAGGACUCGUUAAUGACUGCUAUACAUACAUAUUAAGAAAUUCAUUAGGUAGUCAUAGUUGCUUGUCGGAUUAUUCCCUCACUUCUGCUUCAGAUACAUCUGUUGCCUCAGAUCUUGAAACUUAUUGUUCUGUUGCAGAUGAUCUUGUAACUAAAGAUUCAAUAGUCUCCUUUCCAAGCACAGCAUUAGCUUCAGCAGAUGAGCAUUCGGUUUCUUCAACUACUCCCGUCCCUUUAGCCUCCUCGUAAUAACGCCCAUUAAUUAAGGGCACCAAAAACAGGACAUAGAAAACAGGCUUCUUACAGUGAAACUGACUCUCUUCAAUGGCAUGAGGGAAGGAUGAAACUGUUGGAAAGAUCAUAUAUAGGAAAAAGCAAAACACUUAUAAGAAUGCCUAUGAAUUAAAAGAAUAAGUGCUUUAGAGAAAUCAAUAGAAUUAUUCAUACGGAGCAUGCGGAUCAAAGUAGAAUCGUACUAUUACUUAUCGUUUUUUGACCUUACUCCUUCUCUUGCUGUGGCUGAGACUAUACUACUGCUAUGAGGUCUUUCCUUAGUUUUCCUUCUUUCUCUGUUUUCUUACCGAGGUUGUAAGUUCAGUUACUUUAUCCUUCCCUGUCUAUUAGCUUAUUGAGUUGAGGAAGAGACUUACUGACUGCCUUUCUUUAUUUGUUUGUUUGUAUUAGACUAACUCCCUAUUUUUCCAAGAAUCAGAGGGCUACGCUAAAGAGAUUGCGGCAUUCAUUCACCCAGACUUGAUAAUGGAACCCUUGUCCUGCAAGCCCCUUAGCAGACUAUAAAGAGAAAGUGGAGUAAACCCAAAAGACAAGAAAGAGUCAGCGCACCCCCGGACCUCUUGUUUGGUAUCUUUCGAGACUCUCCCUCUUCCGAGGCUAGCCUCAAGAAAACCCCUCCCUCUCCUGUUGGUCGAGCUAGCCCCAUCCUCUUAGCCAUUUCUUCCUCUGUCAAAGAUUAGCAUUCAUCUUGUCUUUGAAUUAUUCUCUUUCUUAUCUUUAUUGAUUUCUGUGAAUCAUUCUCUUUCUUAUCUUUAUUGAUUUUGAUUAUAGUAUGAUAUGAUCCAAUGAUUAUAGUAUGAUAUGAUCCAAUGAUUACUUUAUUGAUUUUGAUUAUAGUAUGAUCCAAUGAUGAUUCCUCCCGGUGUAUGAAGGAAGAUGAUAAUCCUUUGUUGAGUUGGAGUUAGGAGCUCUGCCUUGGUUCUUUUUUCUUGCUUGCCAACUUGAUUCUGUCUUCUCAUUGAGCUUAGUAGAUACAACUCGUCUGGCACUUUCUGACCGGUCCGUUGGGCAAAGAGCACUUUUCACCCGGAACUCCCCUUUCAAGAGUAAGCCGAGGGGAACCUUCUUGAUCUUAAUCAAAUACAUUCCCUUCUCUUUCUUUAUUGAUUGAUUUCUUUCUUAAUACAUUCCCUUCUCUUUCUUUAUUGAUUGAUUUCCUAGUUUCUUUCAUUAUGGAUUUCUAUCCGAGUUUCUUUCUUUGAGUGGAACUCUCUUUCUCUUUUCUCACCCGCUUCUAUCCUUUCCCUUUCUUUAUGAAGGAAGCCCUUCUUCCCCGGAACAAAGGAAUUUCCCAUAUCAGACAGGUCCCGAAAGCGCGUAGAGAUUGACGGCUAACUGCAAAGAGAAUCAAACCAAUCCUGAUGGCAAUCCAAUAUAAGUUUACUGGCUUGAAAGAGUUAGCCUAAGGCCUUAAGAGAACUACUAUUACUGAUGCCCCGUUCGGCUAAGAGAAGGGUUCUAAGGUUAGGAAGAUUGCCUGGAUUCAGACAGAUUUCUCUGGUAAAUGCCACUGUUCAUUGCCUUCCUAUGUGCAAGCGCUCUUCUACUUCUCAAAUCAAAGGGCCAAGCAACUAAAGGAGAGUGAAUAUGAGUUAUAACCAAGUCCACCAAGCAGACUAGUAGGCAAGUAACUACUCCUAACAUCUUUAGGGUCGAAUACUUCACUUGUGAUCCAACUUUAACAUCAACAUCCGAUUCACUUACAUUAGAUAGAUCUAGGUAACCAAGAAACUCCAUUCUGUGGACCACACCUCGCAUCAAAGCAAGGAAAGUAUUAUUUUGUUAAAGGGCCAAGCAACGGGUUAAGUCUCUAACUACAUAGCUUCAGUCUGCAACUACAUAGCAUCAGACUUGGAUUCACUAGCUCCCGAACACCCGGUUUCGUUCUCACUUUCUUACUUGUUAGCUCUAUUCUGUUACUGACUUGUUGCAUUCUUUGUCUUAGGAGUUUCUCAUUCUGUAACUACCUAGGUCAAUUCUGAGUCUUCUACUGGAUGCGGAGUGGGAAUGGGAGCCUUGUUUCCGGGGUUUAGUGAACGAGUCCUGUGUUCGUGGGAACUAUAUUCAUUCUGUUACUACUUUGUUUCUUUCUUAUAUGUACACUAGUUUGAUUCCGAAAUUCCAACUAGCAACUACUCGGGAUGAAGACUAGAAGUCAAACACCCGACCCGUAAUCUUUUGUUUGAGCACCCGGCUUUAUCAUCUCUAACACCCAGCUACCUGGCAACCGAAACAAUACUUUUCCACUGAGAAAACUCCUAUACUAAUGAGUUAAGUCACUGAACCCUCAAGAUUAUAGGAAGAAAUGCAUUCGUUGACAAGUUUCUUAGUUUCAAUGAGUUUCCCUAUCUACUGAGCUUCCCCGUUCAAUAAAUGAAAUGCAUUUGGAGUGUAUACCCGAUAAUAGCUACUGCCGCGCAACUGACUACUAAGCUUGGCCCUUCCAGUCCUUUCUUACCCUCUUCCUCAAGUUCAUAAAAAAGAGAAAAUACCGAUACUAAUAGAAUGGAAAAAGAAAGAACAGAAGAGAACUAAUAGAACAAAUAGAGAGAAUACCACGAGAGCAGGCAAUUGAGUCGACAACUCACACUCACAACUAGGAGCCAGGCAACUACUGUUCACAGAGCCAGAGCCAUAGAGGGAUAUCUGGUCUGAAACUCCGAGUACAUGGGCAAGUCCUGUGCUGUGUUCGCGGGUCAUAGGGGUUUCAUUCUUAUACUUACUGGUUUCGUUCUUAAUAUCAGGUUUCUGGUCAUAGGUCUAAUUCUAAGAUUGACUUGUUUGAUUCUUUCACUACUGAGUUCAAUUACUAGAUUGGAAGCCUCAGCUACUUAUUAUAUCUGCUCUGAACUUCUGAACUUCAAGUCUGGUUUCGGGUGUUGAAGUGGUUACUCACCUGCAACAUAAGUUUGGCAACCCUGGGUUCAUUCCACUUUCCACUGGACGAAGGUAAGAAAGAGAGGACAUCAAGGCUAGAUUCUCGUAUGCUAAAGAUAGUUUGAUUCGUGCCUUCCAUUGCCCAACACACACCUAUUUGGAUUCGCUUGAGAAGAGCGCAUUCUUUGGAUGCUAAGGGCGGGCCUGGCCCGGGUUAACUAAACGAUCUUCUCUGUUUAUGCUUCAGCGAAUCGACUUCUUCUCGAUGACCACUUGAGUCAGAUUCAUGUGCAGCCUUUCUCUUUUGUUUAUUAUUCUAGAAUAUAAGAUGAUAAGAUGCAUACCCCUUCCUCAUUAACUAUGUAACUUCCUUUAGUUUAGCAGCGGUAGCAUUCAAAGCGGAUUCUUGUACACAAGACAGAGAGAGGAAUUUGAACCCUAUUAACAGAGAGGAAAUGCACCCUAUUAAUAAAGGUCUAUAUAAGGUCGGGCAACUAAGGCAGAGAGAGGCUACUUUAUAACAACCAUGUUAGCAACUGAGCACCUUGAUUUUCGUCUUUCAAACCUUAUGAUAGAAUAGAAUUGCUAAAUCCAACUACGAGUAUCCACCUUUGCUAAAUGAAACUACGAGUAUCCACCCACCUUCUUCCUUAGCCGGUAUCCUACGAUCUCUUGACUAAGUCAUUUCACACGUUGCAUUGCACUGAGAACAUGGGCCCGGUCGGCUAUUAAUAAAGCUAGGCGAGGCCGAACAUCGGAUUCUGAACCUGAAAACGGAAGCUUGCCUUGGUAACCUUUGCACAGUUUGCUUUUCCCCUUGGACAGAUAGCGUUGGGAAGGAGAGAAGGAAUUUGUACCAGAGAGGGGCUCCUAUCUAUAAAUCUAUAAAUACAGGGCAGACGCGCACUGAUAGGCCAGCUCGCCUUCCUUCCUCCACCGACUGGAGACCAGAUUGCUACCAUAUAAAGGAAUGACUAUAGGCACGGAACUUUCUUUUUACCAGAUUCUUUCUUUGCCCCUUGUACUUGCCUGCCCGGCUAGCUCCUAGGUUCAGUCCGAUCCGAAGCCAGAUGCAAGUUUUGAUUUAGCAAUAUCCUUUGCUCGGUUCAUGACGCUAUCCAAGUCAAGCCAGAUUGUAUGGUUCCAGAAGAGAGAAUCCGCUUCGAUCAUCAACGACUACAACAUUUUUAGAGCUAGUGUCUCGGGUCAUCGUUUCGCUUUACCGGGUACCCCAAAAGAAAAGAGUUGUGUUAGCUCUUGGGAAAGACAUUUUAGUCAAAGGCCGGAUAGCCUUGCUCUUUAGUUGAUGGGAAAAACCCGGGCCGGCAAAAAGCGUAGACUUCCAUGAGGAACCCACCUUAGCCACCUACCAUCAGACAGAUAAGAAAGAGACAGGUACGAGUCCAGCAAAACCAGGAUCGGAACUUCGCAAGCCCUCUUCAAUGGCGCUCAUCAAAGUAUGAUUCCUGCUCCAUUCCCCUUUGCACUCGAUUGAGAACCUUUUGAAUGAGAAACUCAAUCCAUCAAUGUGGGGUGGGGUUCAUCAUCAUUUCUUAAGCAAAAACGGCAGGGCAGGAGCUUUCUUCUAGAUCUCAUUCACACGUGAGAGUCAAUGGGUUGGUUUUCGCUCGCCAAGCAAUUACUAGUGUAUAGCGUUAGAACCAGUAGUCAGCCUUGUUCUCGGUAGGCUUUCAGCACCUUAUUUCAAGUUCAAGUCUCAUCCGCAGUAGCUGGUUCUCACCUAGGUUCUAGCAAGUUUCAUUAGGCGCUGUACCAUUCCUUAUUGCAGGACACAGUAUUUCAUUCAGUAGUCGCAGCCUUUUCAUUAGUAGUUUCAGAGUCAAGGUUAGCAGUGGUAGUGUUGGAGUGAGUUAUUGUAGAGGAAGAAGAAGAUGGGAACGCAAGUAAGGAAGUUAGGAAAUAGGUUCGUUCUUUGACUUAUUCAUUUAUACAAGCUAUGGUGCCUAGUUAGGGUAGUGGUCGACCGCUGCUUAUGACACUCAGCUGAUAUAGAAACCUUGCUUUCCAACUGACACUACUUAACUAAAGUCUUCCUUUACAGCUUCUCAUGGCGCUCCCUAUAAUAAAGAAAGACACUAAUACUUAUUAGAAUGAAAAGAGGAGGUCCUAAAGAAGGAUCUAGAUCUGAUCGAGUUCGCCUCCUAAUACAAAUCUAAUGGGUGUUGACGCCCUGAAGUCUGGUUUGCGAGGUUAACUCGGGUACUCGGGUCUCUAGGGCCUACUUUGCCGGUUCUAAAGCCCCUAGGGGACAAGCGCUAUUACCUAUACAUCUAUUCUUUAACACUGGGGGUACGAUCCUUACUCUACUGACGGGAAUACAAAUACCACUAUGCUACUAUAAGGCACCCAACUACGACUAGCAAGAACAAAACUCGGAGCUAAGAGACAAGCAACAGGAAACUAAUAAUGGAACUGGUGCAUACGAGACCCUAACGAAUUACUCUUGACUUGAAACCUACUAAGACGCCUAUGCAGUAGAUCUUUCCUAGCUAGAAAACUCAAACCGAUGUUAACAAGGCUAUAGCUCUUACACUGGGAACAACCCGACCACUAUUGGAUUGAAAACCCUAUCCAUUAGAAUGGAACCUGGGCAUGUGAGAAUGGAACUACUUCUAAUAGGAUUUGAGCUACAACUUUCAAUACCUUAACUUUGAACUGGGAAUUGCACCACUGCUACCAAGACUUACUUCAUUACAUAGGGGCUCCGGCUUUAACUACUGAUUAACUAGCCUGUCUCUCCUUUGUUUUCAUUCCGUAACUACAGGAUUUUUCUCUUUGUUCUUAAACAGGAACCGCUGCUAACGGGGCUCUCGAUCCACUCCCCUAUUCCUACUUCCUUGACUUUCAGUCCAACUCCCCUUGCUCUAAAACGGAAAUGACUUAUUUGUUUUCUUUGCCUCGCCCUUAGGUCUGCCGCUACUGUAUUUCAUUCCACUGCUCCUUGCUUGAAGUCUCUCUAGGCACACAAUUCGCCUGUCCUUGAAUUCACUAUCAUCUGAUAAGACUUAGCUACUGUACGAUUCAAUUAGGCUUAGAAGUAGAGUUCAAUUAGGAUGAAAGGUAGUCAAUGGGGCUACUCAAAAAUAGGAAUAAGAAUCUAGGUGCGUACGAUCCAGUGCAUACAGGGAUGGAGUAACUACCAAUAAGGCUGUAAACUCGGCACACUCGGGCUUAACUAACUAAUAAGCAGAAUCCGGCUACAGCUUCUUUAAACUCGGGCUUUGGCUCCUGCUUCUAAGGCUCUAAACAACUACAGAAGAGAAUGAAAACACUGUAAACAAGAUCGAAACCGCUGCUAACAAGGAUGCCCUGACUGACUUCUAUUUUAGCUACCCUUGCUUUCGUUCUGUAACUAAUAGCUCUGGGCCUUACUUGCUCCCUCGCUUCUGAAAUGGAGUAUAUACCUUACCUAUACUGGAGUUGAUUGAUACCCGCCUAAGGCUACACUAAUACUAAUAUAAUAAUGAAACCACUAAACAGGAACGGAACCACUACGCUACUAAUAAGAGUAAGAGAACAACUAUAACACAAGAAGUUAACUCAUAAGAAAACUACUGUAUAAAGAAAACAACUCAUAAGUAGGUGCUGAAAGCCUAGUGCUUCUAAGAACCAAACGAGGGAUAAUUAACUCAACUACUGCUGAUAGGACUUGCUAUCCGUGUUUUCACUCUGUUACUACUUACUCUGAUUGUUCCAAUCCAAAACACAUCACUCGGUAAUAACUUGAAACUCAAAAUAAGGAAUUGCACUCUGGGUAAUAACUUGAAACUGUAUUUCCGUUAUAUAAAUCUCUGCGCUCUACUCGCCAUUCUUACUGCCCUUUCUCUGAUUCUUUGAUGUGAGCUAUAAGGCUAAUAGCAGGCCCCAAGUAAGCAUACUUAUUACUGAAAUAAUGCAUUUCAACUAGAAGUCUGUCACUACCAACUCCAAAGCUAACAUGCCUAACAACCUUACUACUGAACACUCGGAUUAUUUGAAAACAUGGGUCUGGGCCCUUGCUUUGACUAGGGCGGAAUUCCACUCAGUAGCAGUCCACUCAGUAGUAGUCCACCAAGUAGUAGUCCACAAUUACUUGACUAGCCACCAAGCCUUACUUAUUAGUUAAUUGAACUCGACCCACUAGUAAAGCCCCAUUGCCUCACCCUUAAGUCCGAAACUCCCUGCCAGAAGUCCGUUAUUGACACUAUCCACUAUCAGGAUUACUUGCCUCGAUCUCCUUCUAACCAUCUUGCAACUAAUUCUUUCACUAAGGGGAAAGGAACGAAAACACUGCUAACAAGGAUGCCCCUUACUUCUUUCCCAUCUACUUAGUCUGUCUGCCUUUCCCGCCUUCUACUUACUCCUUUGAAACUUGGAUUUCACCUUUCAGUAUUGAUUUCCUGUCUGAGAGAACUAGGUUAGUUAGAGGCUACAGCAAAGUGUAAGUGGAUAGAUACUGUGCCAGGCCGGGCUAAGGAUAUCUGUCCGCAGAUACUAAUACGGGUGGCAGCCUCAAGGAUUUCACUCGGUAAUAAAAGAAUGAAUAGCGUUGUAUAGGAGCGAUAGAUCUGAACUAAACUCCGUAGUUGUAGGCUUUCAGCACCUGACUUUCUAUAAUGUCUGAGAGGGGCUUACUUCCCCGGCUAUAAAAUACUCCGUAUUAGAAAUACACCUGCGCUAACAAGGCUGUAGCUACUAUUUCGAAUGCUUAACUAAGAACUGGAGCGUGCUUUCCUGGCUAUCGGCCUGUUGCUUCCACUAACAACUAUGACCAUUAUUAUGGAAUCUAACUCAAUAGCAUAGGAAUGAGUGGGCAUAUCCUGGAAUUUACCUAAGUUGCGGGCAACAACUCUAAACUAGGAAAUCAUUGUAGGGAAUCUCAGAAUGGAACUCUAUAUGCGGAAUGAACUCAACAUCUUACUCGGUCUCUGUGCUUUUCAACUUUCACUCAUGACAGUUCGCUUACCCCUCUGAACUAUAUUAUUCUUAUGCUCCUCUCCCACUCUUCAAUUACUAGAAAUCCGAAUUGAACUCGAUGCACUGAUCCUAUGCUUUCACCGGGACGACUCGCGUCCCCACUCUUAUGUUGAAGCCUGUCUCCCCUCGCUUAACUCUGUAGUUCACUUUUCUUAAUCUAUCUAUCCUGGAUUUAAUGCUCUAACUACUGAUUGGAAGGAUGCCCUACCUUAUCUUUCUUCUAAAUAUCCUGGGUGUCGGCCUUAUAUCUCUUUUCAUUAGAAUUGAACCGCUGACAACAAGACUGACUUGACUUCACUAGUAACCGAGCCUUACUACUUAGCUUUCAAACUAACCUCUCCUACUUAUUCGAAUGAAAUCGCUGCUAACGGGCCUUACUCACUAGUAGUUAAAACCCUACUGCUUUCUUUCAUUACUUAUUACUUAGUAUCUCGCUCUUGUCUUUGAUUCUGACUUGACUGUCUACUAGGCUGACUUUCCUUACUUCUGUUCUUUAACGCUGCCCCCCAAGCUCGAUCUCAUCCGUCAAUUACCAUAGACCCUUGCUUUUCUUCUUGUAUUACUGAUAUGGGUCCUUACUUAUCUGCUUGAAUCUUAUAUUACUACUCAAAAGAAUUGGACUAGCGCUCCUCAGACUGAAACAGGAGCAUACACGAUUAGACGCGACUAUAUAGAAACUAACAGCUCUCCCCCGUUCUACUGGAAUCCAACCAAUGACAAUAAGAAAUGAGCGACUUACCUUUUCUUCUUUUCACACCUACAACAUACUUUAGAUCAGUAGUUUUCUACCUGAAUUCUUCUCCUAUCCCUCGUGCUAUAGCCAAGACACUAGUAACAAGACCAAUACUUGUCAACUGAAGACUCAACUAUGGAUGGAAGGAGCCUAGACUCAACUCUCACCCAUACGCAGCACCAUUGGAUCUGAAGUCAACAAAUCAUUCCAAUAAGAAUGAAACAAUAACCGAACAGACAAGCUUAGUAGUUAGUUGCGCGGUUCCUGGUUGCUGGGCCCUUAUUCUUAUUUUGAUAAUUGACUGGAUUUUCUUCCACCGAUGAUCCGGAUCUGUCAACUGCUUAGGCUUGAGCCUAUUCUUCUAUUCUUAUUGAUGAAACUCUACUUUCCACGAGAGAACCUGUCCUGUCCGAAACAAGUGGUUAAAGAAAUCAACCCUUCUUAAUUGACUCUAGUAGUAGCACUGGUAGCAGACUUUAGCCCGGUAGUAGUAGCACUGGUAGCAGACUUCACUUUAUGAGUUUCCCGAGGUGGAGGAGAAAGAGAAGGAUCCGAGGCAGGGACAGGGCAUCCAAGUUAUUGGAAUUACCUGUUUGUUUCUUCUAUCUUCUACAAGUUAUUAGAAUGACCUGUUUGUUUCUUCUAUCUUCUUAUAUAAGAGGAAACUUACUGUGUAGGCUUCGACCGCGGGCAUCUAAACUCACUCGUAUACUCAGCACCGGCAUAUUCCACUCUUUCACUUAGGACAGCUGACCCACUUCUUAUAUUUCUUGCGCCUGCUCCGAGAUACUAUACUGGCACUGCUUCUUAUCGAGUAGACUCACUACUUCCAGCUUCUUCUCCUUUAUUAGCGUUAGUAAGAAAUAGGUUCAAUGACCGGAAAUGGGGCUUUCAUGCCUUUACCUCAAACACUUUAGUAAGGAGUCAGUUUAAGCAAAAGGUAAGCUAUGCUAUGGUCGGUGACCAAUAUCUCUAUCAACCCUGGCACCCGGAGACUUCUUCUGUAAACUCAUCAAGUUAUGGCUCUGGCUCUUUCUCCUAUAUCCGGAUGUAUUAACUCCUAUUCCUCAAAACUCCUAACUCAGGAUGUAGUUAGUAUAUAAUACCUUUACUGGCUUUGAUACCGAAGCUGGAGAAGGAAUAAGGAACCAAAGGAAGGCUUUGAUACAUAAGCUGGAGAAGUCCACCUGUUUUCAUUCACAUAUAGGUUAGCAAAGGAACCCUCUUUUCCUUGGUCAACUACUACUUCUUGAAACAAGCUGCUUUCUAAAUCUACCUAUGGCUAAUAUACCUAUCCUGAGGCUACUUAGGGAAAUUCUGAGUCAUAGAAUUGGUAAUAUGAAUUCAAGGGGCGGCCAAGUCACGUAUACAACCACAUAGCAACACAUAAAUAUGUUCUAACUCGGAUGAGCAAGUCCUAAUCUAGAGCGGCAGCAAAUAACUAGUUAUAGCGGAUUACCAAGUCCUGUUUUCGUUCCUGUGUUCGGUGUCGCGGAGGAGCUUUAAACGGUCUUCGUAGAUGUCUUCGUUGCAGCAAGUCUAGACUUUUCCAUGGCCCUAGCUGGAGGAAUUAGAUAUAGAACCCUGUAGUCUUCUUUAAAGGUAAGGGACUGAAGGAAGUUACGGGUGAAGUCACGAACGCUAUAACAAUGGAUAAGGGGCUUGCUCUAAACUCCAAAGGGUAUUAAAGCUUUGUCAGUGAACAAAGCAGUGAUUCGACGAUCAGUAGGUGUACCGCGGUGGUUUCUCUCUUUUUGUCCUCGAUGAAGGGAUAAGGUCCAGCUUUACUUAUUCCACUUUCUUUAGGAAUGAAAUAAGCAUCUGUUGAUGCGAAAGAAAAAGUCGACGCCUUUAUUUAGCAUUGUCAGAAGGGAAGUGAGCCUUUUCCUAAAGCGUAGGCCCGCAGAUGACUGAACAACCUUCCCUUUCUUGCAUCUCGGACUCAGAGGGCUUUCUUUUGUCGGCUAGUGUUAUAUAUUGAUUAAGGUGCGAAAACGAUUCCUCGCAAACAAACAAAAAAGUAUUGAUUUGAUUUGUCUAAUCCUUCCUGCGUUUAGGGCUUGUUUUACGUCCUACAACAUAAUUCGAUGCCAUCCUCCUCUACUAUUAUCCCGAAGGAGAGAAAGCCUACCAUCUAAAGCAAAGAGAAUCCUCUAAACCGUGACUCCAAGCAGACCUCGACUAAGCUGUACCGCAUGUGGCAAUCCAAUCCAAAUCCAUAGAAUGCCAGUAAAAACAAACAACACACCCUAUUUGUAUUAGCGUGAAAAGGGGUUUGUUUAUUACGGUCGACCACUACUCUAUUUAUAGUUUACAGUUCCAUUGAGCAGUUAAGCGCUUAUGGGGUUCCGCAGUCCGAUACCUUUCCAUUUAGCCACCUCAUGCGCCAAAGUCGGUUGGUCUAUCCUCAACUUACAAUAAGGGCCGGCACUCGUUAAAGCAGUCAGAGUCUAAGCGGACGGCAUAGAGCCAAUACUCUCUUUUUUGUCAUUUGACAUCCCGUACUAAAAGAAAAGCAUAAUAAUGAUAUGCUGGGAUUCCAGUUUCAUAGAUCUUUUCUUUUCCCCAUCUCUUAGAACAAUCUGGUUUUCAUUUACAAUGCCAAAUGGAAGUCAAACGGAUUUUUCUUCCUAAAACUGGUGUGUAUAGAGGAAAUUGUAGGUAGGAAGGACAGGCUUUAUGGGGGUUUUCAGUCUGAAGGAAUCCUAUCUGGAUAAAGACUGUCCAUGGAUUGGAUUCUCCUAGUGGAUUUGGACUAGAAAAGGCACCCUAGAGAAAAGCGGGGGUUGAGAAAAGUGGGAGAGCUAGUUUGAAAGCAGAGAGAUUUUAUUGUGACCAUAAGUAUGACUCUAAGUCCCGUACUGUGGUACAUCGUACCUAUGAGUUUCAGAAUAAGGCAGUAAGACCUAUAGCCAGUAAGGUAAGCCCAAGAUCUAGUAAUAGUAGACUUCCCCGGAUAGUAGACUUCGGGAGGCAAACUAUAGACUUAAAGGAGCAAGCAGGAAUCCGUAUCAGUAGCUAAAGAACCCAAGUAGAUAUGUGAGUUUGAAAUCGACGUAGUUGUAGGACUUAUAGUUAAGAGCGCCAGGCUAUGACAAAGAAGUGGUGGGCUCAUGCGGUGGAGUAAGGAUCGAAGCAAGGGGAUAGCGGUUGAGGCAUAGGAAAUAAAGACGGAGUUCCUAGCUAGGUUCUUCUCACUAGUAGGUUGAUUCCCGAGUUCGACUCUUUGUAUUAGUCGUUUGGUUCUUACUUCAGAGCAGCUGUCCAGUUGGGUAGUAGUUCAUUCCCAGUUAGUUAAGUAAGCUUUAAGCAUUUGCCUACAGCCAUCUAAAGCAGCCCUUGCUUCAAGCUUUUAAGCCGGUACCGCCCUACUGCUAUUAUGUUAUUUCAACCUACGCUCCACAAACAACUAGCCUGCCUUUUUCUCCUAUGAAACUGAAAAUACUACCAGUGAGCCUGCCUCCUAAACAGUGAUAUGCUACCAACGAGAAUUGAGCUAGAAGAAUAGUACGUACGGGCGAGAAGGGGACUGAGACGUCGCCCAAGAAAUAAUAAUGAAAUGUCAGAAAGUCAGAAAACCUACCUAGUGGAGGUACACCUCGGCUAAGUCAACAAAUACAAAUACUAAUAUAUACCAAUAUAAGACUCGAAAAACCACUUAAUCAGAACAAAAACAGAGCUAAAGAACUUUAUUCAUCAAUAGGAAAUCAAAUACUACCUACGAGCCCAACACUCCUUGACCUAAAUCUGACUUAAUGACAUCUAAAUCUGGUUUUCGAGUUAAUGUACAGUAAUGCGGACUUGAAUGAUUUAAUCCCUUGCUUUGAAACUGCAUCCCCACUAGCAUACCCUCAAACAGGACAUAGAGUCACUAAGUUACCUGAGAAACUGGAAGAAUCGUUUGGCACCUACGCAGCCCUUAUCCAGCUAUGAACUUGAAACUGAAAACUCCAACUUGAAGAAUCGUUUGGCACCCGUAAAUUACCCAUCGCUCAAUUACCCAUCGCUGCUGACGCUGCCCUUGCUUUGUCGGGCGGAACUCACUCUCAGGUCUAUCGGGCUUACUUUCCAACUUAGUUGUUAGUUACGGAGAAAACAGCUACUGCAGCCUAUGAUCCUCACUUGCAUGUUACAAACUCAAACUAGCGCUAGUUAGACUAUCUUUACUCACUUCUAUUCUCAGUAUUGUUAUUUUCAAACCGGACUCGGAUCCUUUAAACAAUACCGACAUGAUACCCUACCUAGUUUGGCUAACAAGUAACAACUUUUGUGAGCGUUAGUAAGGGGCAACUGAUCCAGCUCCAUCUGCUGACUUUGGCGCUGACACUGAUACGAAAACGGAUCUUGCUCGCUCCUGCUUCCACUAUGGAUUCUUAAAGAGGAGCUUAUGUAACUACUCCACUAUAAUAUGGAACGGCAUUUCACCAUCUAAUUGCCCCAACAAACGCUUCAUCCAUCUUUCGAGCUUCGAGUCAACCAGUCAUUUCAUCUUUCUCUUAAACCAGAAAACAAUGGACUCCCCUUUCGCACUAAACUAUACUUCCCGCUUCAGAUACAGAUCCCGAUCUUUCCUCAACAGAUUUCAUUGUCCUUGCAAGGGAAGGGCCAAAUCCCAGAAUUUCAUUAAACAGACAUUAUUUAUAUAUAAGUAGUUUGUAACCAAAUAGAUGGGUCAGGUUGUUUCUACUCAACUUCCGCACUAAGAUAUCGGGCGAAAAUCAUUUCAAUAGCUUUCGAUCCACCCGUUACGCAAGGGAACCAGUAUCUGUAUUGCCUGAAGUCAGUUCAGUUCGACUAGUUAUAGUUUUCUCCGUGUUUUGUCUCCGAGAGAACAUGCUGUGUAAUAUACUGCAGUUGGCGAUGAGAAUGAAGCUGCGGUGUCAAAGUCAGCGGUAAGCGAAGGAAGCAGAGAGUAUUAGCCCCGAGCCCGAGCUCACGUGAGAUGGAUGAUAGCUUUUUCUUUCCGUUUAGCAGUGCGCAGUAAAGUCCAGAGAGUUUUUCGCUAUAAUAUGAGGGCAACUAGGAAUUCCAUCUUUCGAGCACAUAUGAUAGAUUCGAGUAAACUACGGGCUUACCUUUUGCUUCAAAACAACAGGGCGCGCAUUUCGUUAUUGUUGCAGGGGUGGGCAUUAGUCUCGGUGCAGUCUUAGGUGACUUCUAUCUAUAUGUUGUGGUAUUUCUAGUUUCGCAGUGUUGUUACUCAAUACUAGAAUAGGUAGGUUUACUUUAUUCCAUUAUUGAGAGAAAGCCAAGGAGAGUGGGAAAGCCCCAAGCAUAUACGAUACAGAAGUUCAAAGAGCUCCCGACAGAGAGUAUCAACCUUCUUAGACAAGGAGCUACAGUGGGACAAUCUGCUAACCUAGACUUUAUAAGCGAACCAUUCAAGUACAUUUUACACCUUGUGAACUUCUACUAAACUCUAAGCUCGCAAAGAAAGAUUCUGAAGUGGAGUUAUGAGUUUUGAGUUCUUGUAUAUAAUGGAAAAGUCAAGACACUGAACUACUGAAUAGAAUCUAGUGCACCACCGCUUUUGGCAAGCAAUAAGUUAAGUACCAUCCAUCCAUAGGGCUCGGCUCUUUAUAGUUCUGCAGAAAUAAUCGAAUAGCAGCUCUGCAGGGCGCUAAAGUCGAGUGGGAGCAGCUGGGCGCUAAAGUCGAGUUAAGCGAGUCAGAGAGUCAAUUGUGUUUUUACCCCAUUCUAUAUAUGUAUUGAAAGAAUACCUUCUUUCUAGUUUGAUUUCGGCGAGAGAUUCCAUUAAUGAUUUGUUUACUCAAGCAAGAAUCGAGAGAUUCCAUUCCAGUCCUGUUUUCUCCUGCGGAAAGACUCUCUGUGACGUGUGGGAAUUAUCAAUAUGGGUUUACAGUCCUAAGUAGUGAUCCAAGCAAACCUUUAGUCUCGGUUAAGCCCAUAACCGACUCUCUCGUAUUCAAUGAAAGGAAUAGCUGCUAGCUGGGCGAUGAAUAAGAUGGGAGAAGAAGGUGUUGGUCAAGUCUAAAAGGUCAGGGGUAAUGUGUUAGCUGCAAAUGACUAUACGGCCAGGCUCAAAGGUCAAAGUCGAGCUAUGUGUUCGUAGCGAAUGACUAUACGGCCGGGCUUGAGGGAAGUGAGUUUACAAUUUCUAUCCCUAUCCAUAUAUGAGAUGCGUGAGAUGAAAUGCAUUUUCUUUGUUUUCCUCUCUCUGCGUGAGAUUCCAUUAAUGAUUUGUUGCGCGGUCAGUGAGCAGCUUUAUUACCUUCCCUCUGCUUUGCGUGCUUAGCCUUACCAUCCCAUCCCUUUGCUUUGCUUUACGAACCAUCCCAUCCCUUUGCUUUGCUUUACGAACCUUUCCAUUCCUUUGCUUUGCUUUACGAACCUUUCCAUUCCUUUCCGAACCCUAGCCUAGACAAGGUGAUUUCUUCGUUUACUUCUAAACUCAAUAUUCCUGUUUGCGAGAGGAGAUCUUAACUCCUACUGGAUGAUAUGCGCAUAAGAUAGAUUCAAGAUAUAAAUGGUUUCCCGUUUUUGGUAUUCAUGGCGGUAGGAGCAACAUUGUGCCCUUUAGUAAUUGGCUUAAGUUAGUUAGAAAACAUUUCCAUUGUCAACUCAAUUGUAAACAAACUUCUAAAGUCUGUAAGUGCUUCAACUUAAGGCCCAGUUAAUUACCUCUUUUUAGACUCAAAACUCUUAUUUCUUUCCACUCUACUUUCUGAACGAACAGAAACGUAAUGGAAUUGCACUGAACUAGCACCGAACCUCCUUUCUUAUUCAAUGAAACUACAAGGAGCGGCGAGCGAGACAAGAAGUAUACCUCGAUUAUGGUCUUCCUUAGCGUCCAGUCCAGCAGCUGCUUUUCCUAUCACUUAGCUCCUGUAGCAUGAUCUUGAAAUAUAGUGAGUUCCUGUUCUUUACCGCGUAGGCUACUCCGGCUACUAAAACCAUAGGUCAGUAGAUAAGAAAGAACAUAGGCAUAUACGUUAAACGAUGCAAAAAGAUGGGGUGAAAGCAAAGCCUGAAACUCGAUAUUCUCAGGGUUCUUCAGCGCUAACGGGAGCUCUGCACUCAAAAGAGUUAUCAGAGAGAGAGAAAGGAUUAUCCGCUUGACUUGACGGCGCUGCACUGCUGUUCAAUUAAUUCCUUAGAGUUGAGUUCACCAUUGUGUGUUAGCCAUAGUAAGUAUAAGAAAAAGAACUGUUACUAAAUUGGAAAGCCAUUGCGCGCACUAGCCAUUUGUGUUUGAGUUCGCCGUUCUUCAUAUUAUUGCAGUAAGGAGUGAGCGGGCAGCUCCGGAUUCUCCUCUUGGAAUUUCAUCUAUCUCUGUUCUUGUUGCACUUGUUUUUGUUUAUUCCCUCGCGCUAAUGCUUAUAUUAGUAUUCGGGCGGAAGCCGUUACUUGUUCUUGUGCCUGCAACCUCGCAGAAACUAACUACUUACUAUCGGGGCUUGUUUACUUAGAAUAUUCGGGGCUUAGUUUACUUAGAAUAUAGAAAUUAUUGACUAGUUGCAUUGCUUCCAAACUCCACUCAUAUAGGAAACCCGGAAAGACUAACUCACGCACCCUGUCACUAAAAAGUGCUCUAUGGGCUUGCUUGCCUUUUGCUUGAAAACGAAGUUAUUUGAAUUGAGUCUACCGAGCACAUGAUAAAGGAAAGUAACAAAACACUGAUUACUGCUCACUCCUGACUUUCUAGGAACCCUCAGCCUAUGCCUUACCUGUACCAGUACAAGAAUCAAGCUUCCCCCUAAGCCUAUGCCUUACCUUAAGCUUAAUGCGGCGUAGCUCGCUUAUGCUCCAAGUAGUUUCAUGGAGUCGCUUUUGCCGUUGCUGUUUGUUCUGUUGCGACUUAAUAUUGAGACUCUAAAGAAGAUUAUUAAUGUACCUCCUAUAAAGAAUAUUUUGAGUGUACCUAAGUUGACCUCUUUCUUAUGUAAGUGCAUAACAACACUGCUUGCUUCCUUCUCAUAACAACACUGCUUGCUUCCUUCUAAACUCACUGCUCACCUAUUACUGCUGGCUCAAGGCACCCCGAAAGGAAGCUCACAUUAUGACCCUAAAAGUAAGCUAAUGCACUACGGGCUUGUUCCGGCGAACUCCCUUAAGCAAAAGGCCUCUCUUCUAUGUUUCUGUCCUUGUCCUUCUUCACAGCACCCAGCUAGCAAACGAUUAGCAGCUUCAAAGAGAACUCACUCCUAUCCUACGGCACAAGGCAACAAACAACAAGAAGUUAACCUACCGCACUAUGGUGAACUCAACUCACUAAGCACAACGGCGAAAUCAUUGAAUAUAAGUGCACAUAAUCAGAAAGAAUAGAUGAAAAACGGAGCUUACUGUACUCUUAGAUGAAAACGUAGCUUACUUGACUCUAAAGAAUCUCAUAUAAUGUGCAAAAGAAUAUCAUAUUGUGCACAACUUACUUAUAUAAAAGAAGCACAGUCAACUUACUGCUAUUUAUGAGAUUUCUAUAUGGCAUUUCCUCAAUCCACUUAUUCCUAAAUGAAGUCACACAUCUUUUAAAAUACACAUAACCCACACUGGUGACUUAUUCUAUUAAGAACUCAUAUAGGGGGUCGGUUACUAAGUAUAAGUGUGGAUUCGCUAUGUUUGUUAUUUAGGGGCUCCCUACAGUAACACGGGCAGCGAAUUUGCGGAUGAGAACAGCAAACGAGGUCGACAAAGGUUUCCCUAACAACACUCCAAAUACGUUUCAGAUCUGGUGAGCAAAGAGCGUCUUACAAGUCAAAGGUUCCUGCACCAUAUUCUAUGGAAAAGCCAAUUAUCAUGUAAGAAACACAUAUUUUGCCUAAACUUGUAUACUAUGUGCAUCAGAUAGCCUAAACUUGAUGAUUCUAGAGGUCGUCUACCGAUUGAUAUCUGCAAAGGUCCCUCUAUCUGUCGAUCGCUGUAUAGGAGUGAUUCCUCUUCCUUCUGGUAUCAUGAAUGGAAGUUUCGCCGAGCCCUAUUUGUUUGCGGCUGCCCACGGACUAAAAGAAUCGACUGCUGGUCGCAAGAUAUCAUUACCUUGUGCUUUCCCGUGGUGCCCGGUCCAUCAUAUGCUAUGGGCCUUAUUAGGCUGCUGCACCAGUUGUUAACGUUGCUGCUGCAAUAGAAAUAGCGCCUGUCGCGGCCUUCCUGUUCGCUGUUUUAGUUCUACCCAUACAAAGGAGACAGAUUAGCCAUACUAGUAUUCUUUCUUGUCUCGGUGUUAGUAUCACUCCCUAUUCUAUGUAAAGGAAACAGUCUGACUUCGGGAGCUCUUGAACAACAUAGUUUCUCAAAUAGGGGAAAUCCGGAUUUUACGCUAUGAUCCAUUUUGAUAGUUAUUCAAAUGUUCAUAAAAUAGAAAGUGGAUUUCAAGCUCCACUGUCCCCUUUUUGUCCGCCCUCUUAACCCCUUCAUUCUUUGAGCCCCCUCCACUAAGGAGCAAAACGAAAACCCAUUAUGCACCGAUACCUACUACUAACCUAUUUCUAUGUGAUGUGAAUUACCUACGGAAUUACCUACUACUAACCUAUUUCUAUGUGAAUGGAAGAGUAGAGCUCUGAAGAUGCCGAGAAUCUGGUCUUUCUUGGUUGUUGCUCCAGUAAAGAGCAUUAGCUGUUCUCUUAUCCAUGCUGUUGAAGGAGCGGUCUUAGAACAAUCCACUUCUAUUCGAAUUACUUUGAGGCAGGACUACAAUAAUGACUUGGUUACUUGGAGGCGGGACUACUAUAAACUGGAAGUGCCGCUUAGUCCAAUUCUUUGGAAGUUUAGUGUAUCAUAAGCUAUUUCAUAUUUCAGUAGGCCAAGCUACGUAUAAUGACCAAACAAUACUGGAUCUGAAACUCCGAAUACUUAUUACAAUUCCGGUUUUUGUUAGGCUUUACUGGUUAAUUCGGUGCUUGUUGGUUAAGGUUCAAGUCAGAGGUCAGCUACAAGUGGAAAAGCAAGUUUAGAGCCAACAGUAAGCAGUGAACAAGCAAUCUUCAUGACUAAGAGAUUUUGGAAGGAUAGCUAUGUCUACUUCAGUAUGAGGGAAUGGCUUUGAUGCGCGAUGUACGUGAGUGGAGUCUCUUUCUGAUCGACAUAACUCACUGACGCCAAUGAAUUAAGGGCACAGGACUUGUAGUUACUUGUAUAGUAGUUACUAGUUGGGUUUACAGCCUUACCUUCCACUGAAUGCUUGGACUGGACCACUACAAGGGCAAAGGGAAAGCAAAGCACUACUCGUAAAGCACGCAACGGGGAAAGCCAACCCUCUCUUGGAAAACGGAACGAGCACCCACACUAAGCAAAGAAAGAGACUCGCUCUACUUCAGGAAGGAAUAUGCCACGCGCGCAUUAUGUUGUUGGGUGUUUUGUUACUCCUUUAUAUAUAGAAUGCAUAAGUGAACCUCUCUUUAGAAGAUAGCUAGUCAGGAAUUAUACUUUAUUAAAAGAAUUUAGUAGUAACGAGUGAGACUUGAAGAUAGCCAAUAACGAGUUAGACUUGAAGAAAAGAGUUGAGACACCCGCUAAAGUAAGCUAACCGACCUAAAGAGUAAGCUAACGCGCCCGAAAGUUGCUUGUUCGUAGCUUGUUCCGUAGAAUCUUUGCACUGUUCCUAGGUGCUUAUAAAUUGCAUUCUAUGGAGAACAUGCCAGAGCAAUAAGAUAGUACGCGCAAUAAUCUAGGGCAAGAAUCAAAGUACAGGCUUUGGAAGCUAUAAGUACUGAAGUAUGUAGAGUAUGCAAGGGAAGCAAUUCCAGUUCUUGGCUUAGAAAGAGAGAGAUUCCAUUAAGUAAGCAAGCAGUUCAGUGAGGGAAUAAACUAACAUUCUAUAAGAAGAAAUGACCUCCCUUAGGGCGUAGAGUCUAUGAGAGAGUUGAUUGUGCUUGUGUCUAAGGGCGAGUGUUGGUGCUUACGCUCUCAGUCUUGUUUGUUUCUUUGAGUGCUCCGUUUGUAUCAAUGUGUUUCAAGUCAUAGGAUAAGGGUUAACUCACUAACGCGUAACUAUUAACUUGUUCCUUCGCCCGCCACCCGGAUACAAAGUCUGCAAGCGGUUCAAUUCCAAAGAGAUGCAGUAUCUUUACUUAGUUCUAUACUUUACUUGGUGCUCGAUACGAAAGAAUCCAUUCUCAUUCCUGAGUUGGCGCUGGAAAUAUUAUAAGUUGGUCAGAUUCCUAAGAUAGAUUUACAGUGGGUUCAAUUCCAUUCAUACUUUAGAGUUGGAGACGGGUUUCAUUCCUUAUUUCUAGUUUAGAGCGCAUGGUGGGUAACCUUUUUCUAUCUUACUUGGGUGUCCGGUGCCCAUCCAUAUAUAGCUGACUUUCUUCCAGUAUAGCUGACUUUCGAGCGAACCGAACUCACAUUCUCUUUAACAAGACGUUUCGCAAGAGCAAGCCCCGAAACAAUAACAAUGAUAGCGGUAUCGGUGACUCCGCCUCCCGAUGCUAAAUCUGCCCUCUAGCCUUUACUUGACUUUGAAAUAAGCCUUCUUGCCCUUCACCUGAACGAAGAGUUCGUUUCUAAGGAUAGGCACUGCCACAGCAUCAACAGGUACAAGGAAUAGGCACAAUAGGGAAGAGCAAUCAAUCUCCAUCUCUACUAAAAGCAUUGCCGAGAAAAAACCCAAUAAGAUAGACCGCUGUCGAUCGAAGAAAAGUGUUUUAUAGCCAUGACCCGCCCCCUCGAUUCGGCAAAAAGAAUAGGUGUUAUGGAAGAGUCUUUUAGUCGGCUUUCCCCUUCUUGAGCACUUUAGGGCCGGUAGGCUUUAUAGCUGAUCUGCCUCCCUGACAAUACUGAUAUGAAAUGGAUAGUUGCGCUUGCUUUGAACUUCGAAAGUAAGUCUACGCCCACUAGUAGAUAGAAGUAAGGCAUAUUCCCUAGAUAGAAGUAAGGCAUAUUCCCGAAACUAGAUGAAACUUGUUUUUGUCUCCGGCAAUUCACCUAUUCAUGAGCUAUCGUGGUUAUUUGCCUAUCUCGCACACCACUCGAAGCCUUCGUAAACUAAUUUCGGGUUGGUUCCAUCGUAGUUACGGUUGCAGUGAGGAGAGAAAAGUUCCAGUUAAGAUUACAGGAAGUGAUCGGGAAAUAAGAAAGACAACAACAAUGCAUUUAUUUCCAACACUCUGCACAGAGGCAGAAGAAUAGUUGUUCAUCCCCAACAACUGCCUUUAAAUCCACAUCACGAAAUUGAGGCUUUCUAUACUGCUAUAGGAGUCAUCAAAGAAGGAAUGGGCAUAGGCAGCAAUGAUAAGCCAAGGAAAAAGCCUUUUCUAAGUAAAGUAAAGUAAGCAGGAUUGCUCAAAAUGAAUGGCACUCUCUCUUUGGGAAGCACUAUUCUAGCAUUAUUUCGAAUCCUUUAAGUAGAUGUGUAUAUUAUCUGAUUCUUCUUAUUACUAUAAGAGCGAUGCUGCUGCUAUUUGUCAGUCAGUUGAAAGCUCACCAGAGUAAGCACAUGAGGGAUUGGGGAGAAUUUCAUGACUUUCCUGUGAAGAAGCCAGAUAAAGAAAAGUAUCGUUUUCAAAAACAAAGGAAAUAUGGAACUGAUUCUCUUGAUGAGACAGGAAGCCCACGGAGCGGUCCUCAACCUAUUGAUACGCAAAAGAAAGAAAAAGUGUUAGUAAAGAUGUAAGGAGCUGAAAGCCUGACCCAAAACUAGGAGAGAUAGUUAUAUUGAAAGCAGAGAUACUGUUCGAGUGUUAAAGAAGGCAGGCUCAUGCAAACAAGUAAGAAUCAAAGACAUGAAUUGUAGAAUUAGAUAAAGCAGUGUAAGGUUUAGACACGGGACGGGAGUAACAGGGCAGGAAGCAAGGUUCAUAGUAAGUAAUGCCUUAUUUGAUAUAGGUUUUGGUAGGCAUUGAGUUCGUGUAGUGCCCUAUUAUAAGAUAUAAAGUCUUAGAAGACACUAGACAAGUCCCGAGAAGCGCUAGUUAAAGCAUGAGAGCAAGCAAGGGGACAUAGACCUUAUAGGCGGGAGUUUUUGUUUGAUAGUUAUCAUUAAAAGAAUCAUAGGCGAACUCCAGUAAUUAGAUCAUUCAUUAGUUAAAGCAUGGCGAAUAAGGGAACUUAGGCUUAAUAAAGGCCGUUGAUUAGGUAGUUACCCGGAGAAGCAAUAAAGUCCGACCUUGUGGGAGGAGUUGCAGUCUCAUCAUUAGGUCUCGGUUCCAUUCUCAUCAUGUUAGUUGGUUUCCUUGUUUCGAGUCAAAGCCUUGCUAGUUGGAUUUUCUUUCCUAUUUGUUAGGAUGGUUCCCAGUUCCGGGUUGAGUCUAUCAGGUAGUGCCCAAUUUCUGAUUAGUAAAGAUAUCAAAGAUCCCGGUCAGUAGUCCUAGAAUAAAAGACAGAUCAGAAAGAAUAAGAUUGAGUCGAAUAAGAGUCAAGGUGCGGAAAGGUAGUUUACAGUGAGCAUAAAACGAACCUUGCAACAGAAAUCCAGGUGCUGACAGGACUUACAUUUGGAUAAAACCCCGGGAAUUGGAAUAGAAAAUAGAUCCACCCCUUUCCAAACUCUUACUGCCAUCUCUGCUUCUGAGCUAGAGCCCACCGCUCCUUUAUAUAGUCCUGUAGUUCGCUCUUCAAACAAUAACUCUGGUCUAUCGGGCUUACUUGCUCGCUCUCGUCGAUAGAUAGUAUAGCUAAAGUGAGUUUGCCCAUAGAAUAGCUCCGUUUGGUGGGGACAGUGUUCGAGUCUGUUUCACGCAGUUCCACUCUCGCUGGGCACUAGUGCAGUUUGAUAAGCGCCAGUUUCUUUUAUAGUUCAUAGUUAAGAGCUCAAUCCCGUGUUUCCAUAUUGUUUUGCCCUAAUUCGAUUCUGGCUUAUGGGAACCAAUUCUUCUAUUACUGAGCUUUGGGGCCUAUUACCUAUUAUUCUCUUGCUUAGUUGUUUGUCUGCUUGUCUCCUCUGAUCCGUCAACAAACACUGACGCCGAAGACAGCACGUAGUCCCGUAGAUUAAUUGAUUCUUCUUAUGCCCUUACUGAACCUAGCAUUCCAUCCAAUUAAAACAGUAGGAUACGAUGAAGAAGCAGCCAGCUAGUGCCCACACGAUCAGAGUUGUGCCACACGAUCAGAGUUUCACUCAUGAGUAUGUUUACUCCCCGGAAGGAACCCCGAGCGUACGAGAAUGUAAGGACCAAGUAUCAGACUAAGUAAGAAGGUACACCACACACCAGGGGAAUGAAACAAAGAAUACCGAAUGAAUAAUACAGAGGAGGAACCGUUAGAAUGUCGACAAAGAAGUGAGAAUUUGGACCUAUAAGUAGAAUUAGUGAUGUUGCUCACAGAAUGAGUUGUGUUGAUUAGAGAAUGCGUCUCCCUGGUCGAUGUCCAAGACCCCCGAAGACUUAGUUGUGUGACUUUCAGAGUGGGUUCAUGGUAUAGGAGGUUCGUUCAAGCUUCUAGACUUCAAUCAAUCCCUGUGUUCCUCCUGUGCGAUCCUAUGUUCGUUCCUGCGCUCGCUAGUGAUCUCUCUUAUUAUUUGACUGUAAAGCUAGGUGUAGUAAGUUAGUUUGACUUAGUAUAUUCGCUUGGGUAGUUAGCAGUGGGGCGAGCUUCCAUACUUUUAGGUAGGAAAGGCGGACUACAACUAUAGAUUGAAAGAAGCAAGUCCGAGAAUGGAAACAAGGGAAUGGUAGGUUGAAAGCAGAGAUACAUAAUGAAGUGUCAAAGGGGGCAGGCCAGAUCUCGAACUAAAGAAUGCAAAUAAGUAGGAACUCACUACCGCGGAAUACAGGAAUGAAAUUAGGACUUGGGGGAAUCACCCAUUAUUUCUAAAGUACAGCUGUUGUGUUGUUGGCUCUAAUUCAAUGCGCCAAGUAACACCCGUUAUGCGGCAGGUUUGCUACACUCGUCGGGUUUUGCUUCAAAAAGAAAAAAGCAAUUGAUCGUGCGGUGCGUGAGGGCAGCAUAGCAUGUCUCUCAUUAUUCUCAUUAUUAUAGAAGUAUCACUCAAUCAUAUCAUAUGGAUUUUCGUAACUCAUUCAGUUAGGGACCGUGCAUUCAGUCAUUCUGCGUUCGCUCGUGCACCAACUCAUUCUUCGGUUGGUUGGUCGGUGGUGCGUAGAAGGUCCCACACCAUACCCCAUGCAUAGAAGGUUAGAGGAAAGAUCCAGUUUCUAUAUUACAAAUCAGAAGAAAAGUCAGGAAUGGAAGACUGACCUCGUACCCUAGCAAGCCAGACUAGACAUUGAUAUAUUGGCAUAAUAUCUUAUAAUAUAGUAAGGCAUUGAAGAACAAAAGCAAGUCAAGUAAUACCAAUGGUUCCGGGAGGGCAGACCUAUAAGUGAAAUACAGAAUGCGAGCGAGGUUAGUCAGAGUUAGAGACAGGCUAAGAUCAUAGUGAAAGUAGCCAGAGGCCCGGAGAAAGUAGCGAAGGCUGGGUUUGUGGGUAAAGUAUUAGAGUGAACUAUUGCAUUCCUGCUAGCAGUAGCUCCGUUCCGAGUUUAUAGAUCCAUUCUCUUAGUGAGUAGUUGAAUUACCUGUCUUAGAGCUAAGUCUCAAAAGCGCCAGUUCGCUUCUCUCUUUACUAGCUCAAUAACCUGUUUUGAGUUUUAUGCCUCGAUUCCUCAUUCUUAGCUUCUUUUGAAAGUCUUUCUUUUGCUAGUUGAGUUCUUUAGUUCAUAGUUCCAUUCCUAUGCUCUUGUUGCAGCCCUGCCCUUGUACUUGUAGAGUUGAAGCCACCAAGCGUAUACUAAUGACCGCCUACUACUAUAAACCCCCUGAAAGUAGAGUUCCAGAUUCCAGUAUAGUUUCGGGUGUUAAAGUAUAAGGAGAUGAUUGUGUUGCUCAAGUCCUUUGUUCGACCGGCUUUGAAGCACGGUAUCUUCCUUCCUGCUUUAGGAGAAUUUCUUUGUGUGCCAGUGUUGUAUCUUGGUGUUGGCUCUUACUGGGCGAGAUCGAUCUACUUGUUAUUUCACCGUUCCCUUCCCUUUAGCUGAGUCAACCUUUUCUGGAAUCCUUCGAGUCGAGCGCAUGUCAUAUAACCCUAGGAUAAUAGCAAGUCAAGUGUUCGGGUGUUCGAGAGCAGAGAGAAGGAAGGUGUCUCUUUCGAAAGCAAUGGAAAGGCUAACAAAACUCGCUAACAAACAAGGACAAGGAAAUCAAUAAUAAUCCUAAGAAUAAGUGUAUAGAACAAGAAACAACGGCUAAGCUAUAAGAAAGAUAAGAGGGAUGAGUUUCUUUUCCGAAGAUCUUCUGCGCACUAAAUUCCUGUUUGCCCCAUAUAGUAAUUCGAUGGCCCAAACUCCAAUUCGAAGUAAAGGUAAUAUAAAAGAAUGAAAGUCAAGGCUGGGAAGCAGCAAGCGAUAAGUCAGCAUAAGAAUUGCCCGUUGGGUAGGUUAAGUCUAAUCUGUAGUGAAAGUUGAAAGCCACGGCUUCUGUACUGUACAAGAAUCCAGAAUCAACGUAAUACUCUCAGGUCUAACAAGCUACUCCACGAAACUACUUUGAGCGUAAGCCAGCUACAGGAGCAAGCCCAGCAUUAAGGUCAAGGCUUCAAAAAGAUAAGGCUGAUUUCGAGUCAUAUGAUGAAAGUGGAAUAGAAAGCCAAUGGAACCGCUCAAUUCUCUUCUCAUUACUUUUUCCGGGGUGAGCGCCUAUGAUCUGAGUUUUGCAUCUGCAGUAAGGAGUGAAGAGCUAGUGCUGUCUUCAUUGUCAUUGGCUAACGCGAAUUCCGGGUGCCUAGAUUCUAUUCCUGAGUUUCGGUAUCGGGAUGCGCUAGCUGAGUUCAACAAGUAAGCAGGCUCUCGAUCCGCAUUGAUGGGCCGUGUGUGUGAGUUAGAUUCUUUGAUGGGCACUACUAUAUGAAUUGCUUACCUUCUAGCGAUUGACUGCUUCUAUCAACUCACUAACGUAUGAAUAAGAAACUAGCCCUAUAGCCAACUAUUCAUAGGCUGAAUAGAGGAUGCAGUUUGUUUACAUAUAUUUCUAAGAGUAUGCUGUUUGUUUACAUAUAUUUCUAUCAUAUAAGGUGAAUAUUUAUUUGAUUCAAUUAAGAAAGGGUACGAAAGAAGGGAAAGAAGGCAACUCGGGGUGCGAAAGAAGCUCUGCGUCGGUAAAGGUAAAGUAUCAAGUUAGCGUUAGCUAGAAAGAAAUUCAAUCUGGCUUGACUGCUUCCUUUAGUUCAGGGUAGAUAAGAUGGCAUUCAAGCAGGGGAAAACUAGAUCAGCUGAAGUCAGAGUGGAGGUUUAGGUGGGGUCUCGUUUAUAAGUCUAGGUGGAGUUCGGCCAAAUCAAAUAAAACAAAGCAGUGUGUUUCUUUACUCGCAAUUAAUAAGUUAGCAAGUUCCUUUUUUGGCGGUAGUUUGUUUUCUGGCUUUAAGAAUGAAGGAGGGCUGCGCAGGUUAACACGACUAUAAUCUUGAUGCAACAAAUGCUAUGGUUCCUCAGAUGUAAUUAUACUAAUGAAUCUAUAAAUGGUGCAGGGUCGGUCAUGUAUUUCAGCAAGAGCAAAGCAUAACGGAAGUCUCGCCUAAAGCUAAAGACAGUUUGUUGGAUCUAGAAAGGUAUAUUCGAAUUCCAAGAUAAUGCCCCGCAUAUGCUAUUCUGAAUUUGAUUGGAAAAAGCUCAACCACCAAGCAAGCUCUGGGGCAAGAAACUAGGCUAGGCUAGUAGCGCGGCAGUGGAGCUAGGAGUGACAUAAAGUCUGGUGUUGGCUCUGGAUCCGGUAAGGUAAAGCAAAAAGAGUCAAGUCUAGAUUGGGUGCAACUUUCUAUUAUAUUGGCUUUCCCGAGCUUCACUAUAUGUUGAUGUUGAUGUUGUUGAACUAAUGAAAACACACCUCUAUAACUAAACAGAAGGCAGCCUUUACUUGGAAAGAAGCCCUCUUCUGCGCUCCAUAGAUUCAAUUAAAGAUUAGUUGACUUCACUGAAGGUCACCGAGAUCAUAUAGAAUUCUUUCAUAAGAGAGUAAUAGAUAAGAUAUAUUCUUCCAUUUCUCCCCAGCAGGGAAAUCAUCGAAGUAAAGAAGGCCUUCCGAUAUAGAUAUCUGAUCCAUAAGCUAGCUCUUGGUUCCAAAAAUCCUUAAUAUGUUCGUUCAGUACUCCAAUCUAUGUGCAGUAAACGAACUUCUAUUCUCUUUCCUCCCCUCCUCCAUUCUAGAGUUCUCCCCUUACAUAAAAGGUGGGUAAGAAAGCUUCUACCCGGGGGAGCUGUGGUAUCAUCAAAAAAGUCCAUGUGAGCCUGAAUCCGCGCAUACGAAGAAAGAAGAAAAUGUUUUUAAAAGACCGAAGGCUUAACUCCAGUUUUGUCUACUUUCAAUCUGGGAAGAGCGAAGCUCGGCUUGUAGCUUUCUUCACCAGUUCCCAGAGCCUCUUAUCUUCCAUCUUUUCGGGUUGGCUUUUCUUCUUUCCCCAAAGAAAUAGACUGUGGCCAAUUACUUAUCCUCCUUCUGAGCCUUAGCCAUUAGUAAGGCGGAGUAGCCAAAUAAAAGCAAAUGUCCCUCUCCUCAAAGGAAGUCAUAUGCUCUUUUAUUAAGUGUGCUGUCUUCUCUUCAAUACCCAUCCUCCCGAAAAGACAUUUAUGUGCUGCGUCAAUGAAUUUCCCCCUUUGGACUUUGGCAGCCUCUGAUGAUGAUCUAGUUCGGCUUCUUGGCUUUCACGUCCGAAGCAAGGAAUCCCAUCUUUGGAAAUCCUUGUAAGCCUUGCAUAGACAGACGUAGAUAUCGUAUGACUGAGGUCUUGGCUCGCCGUCAAGAGUGGCCUUUUCUGCUUUGCUUAGUGGGCAUAUGCUGCUAGGGGAUAUUAAGCGAUAAGAGGAAUAUUAAGCAUCUGACUUCGCUUCCUCUUCUUCUCGUGUGGAUGGCACUUCUUCUUUUACUGGAGCAUCUGGAUAACCUUGAUUCCGUUUUUGGGGUAGAGCUAGUCUGGCGAAUCUUUAUUAUGAGUUCGGGUCUGGCCAGAUUCGGACUUUCUCUGCCUUCUAUUCUUCUGGUUUGGAUUUGAGUUCACUCCACGGCUAUUUGAUUUGCUUCAGCUUGGAGAAGAUGCCCAGUUUGGCUCCUUUCUUUUUAUCGAACCAGAUUGAUAGAGUUCAUAGGGAUUUGAGAUAACCUCCAUAUUUCCUGUUUAGGGGGCUUCCUUCACUUCCCCAUAGUAUUCCUGAGUUUACGGUAACUCCUCAGAAAGUGGGCGCGACAUAGAUCUUGUAGCAGAAGGAGGGCUUCCUUCGAGAUUGGACUAAACGCAACUCCAUUUCAUCGACGAAACUCCCUAUAUGUUAUCUGAAGUAUAUAUAUGUUAUUAUCUUAAGUAUAAGAGCAAUAACUUUGAGGUAAAAGACCCUAACUCGAACUCAGUAGGAAGCCAAGCACGCACGAAAGAAGCUUCCCGAGCUGCAGCCUUUCACUUAUUCCUUGGGGGGCACAUUAGAAUGCUCGGAUGCUUGUAUAGGGGAAUUCCCUUCCAUUCUAUUUCGUGAGAUUAGACGGGAUGGAUGAAUGCGAGUUCAUGAAAGGCACUAGGUUAGGGUUGGCUCAACGGUGGAAGACACUACCUUGAAUUCGCUCUUUUCCUCUUUCUUUUUCACAAGCAUGAGUCGGACUUAUAGUCUUGGGAGAGUCUCCCCACUAAGCAAAGAAGGAGGACCGAGUGCAGGAAGAAUCGACCGAAGUCAGAGAAAAAGUGAGCCCGUCUUCCAGGGACGAUGAAUUCAUAAUAGAAUAUACUUAUUUUCACGUAGGUCAGGGGACAAAAGCUUGACUUUCUUUUAUUGGCAUUGAAAUUGAUGCAUCUAGCCUUCCGUCUAUGCGUCUGAUGUCGGAAAUGUGGAACCCGCGAUUGGAAGAUCUGACUGUAACACGAUAACCCCCUGAUACUUAUACUUUAACUCGAAACUCCCUUCAGUAAGCGCACUUAGUCUAGUUGGGGCAGUUUAGUCUUCAGGAACCAAAACAGACACAUCAUUUACUCGAACAGAUCCUGCUGCUGACAAUAGAACGGACUCUGUCUCCUUCCCUUUAGCACUUGUUCUUGUUGGGCCGAGACACCUGGACCUGAAGAUUCAUUAUAUGCAGCUCUUGCCUCUGAUCCAGAUCCAUCUUCGGCUUCGGCAACUGAUCUUGUAGACAAUACUCGAACAGUUUCUUAUCUAAUUGAAUUACCUGCGGAAAAUCCUCCUUAUGGAACAAUACUAUCAUAUGGAACUAUACAGGAAAUGGCAGCUUCCUUUUGAACAGCUGAUGAUCUUGGGGCGCUAGAAAACUUGACAGGACAAUAUGGCAAUUAUAUACUUCACCUCACUAAAGAAGGAAUUGGUUCUUACCCUCAAAGAAAAAGAUCGCGAUCAGGAACAGGAACAAGAGCAGAAGCAAAAGAUGGAUCAUUAGAUGCUGGAUAAAGUUCCGUAUAAUCAUCUUCUAAGGUGGAGCCCAUAUAUAGAAUCACUUGGUAAUCUUUAGCAGGAGCAGUCAAGUAUCUCGGUGUAGCGGUGUUUGGAAGAAGAAAGUCAAGGCUGGCGAGCGCUAGGUGAAUGAGUUCAGUCUAUUUCUUUGUGUACAGGUACGAGUGAAGUCUAGGUUAAGGUGCAAUUCGUAGUUUCAAGUGUAAGCAGAACAAACAAGGUCGAUGUUGGGCUUACGCUUAACGUAUAUAGUCAAGGUGCUGAAAGCCUCCCUCUUUUUGUUACGUGGAACAGUAAUAGGUGUGUUGUUACAAUCUUCCAUAAUAGAAUGACAAUCUUAUAUAUAAUAGAAUAAUGGGCAAUUCAAUAAGCAAGUAUAAGCUGGUGCCAACAUUCUAUUCUUUUGCACUCACAUUCUUAAAGCAACAAACUCGACUAACGCGCGUAUAAGGACAAAGAAAGGUGCCUUUAUUCAACAAGCAACAGAACCUAGACUAAACAAGCUAAUUCAGAGAGACUCCACUUCAAUGAAAGUACACACAGCGCUGAGGAAGGACAGAAACGGAAAGGCUGGAAGCACCUUAUACUCAUAACGGAGCUCACUUAAUCAAAGGCUUUAUCAAUAAGCUAGGGUGCCGUUGGUUUUCAAUCAAUUCCAUAUAUUGUGCUAAGGUGGAUUCAUUUCUUUCUUUUGCAGUUGUGACAGUGAGUUUCGGAGUCAGGUACCAGCUACUAAAUAAGGACACAGAGGCUUAGUAUAGUAUAGAUUAUCUUAUCUUUCUUUCGAGUUGUGCAGGGUACGUUAGCGAGUGAAGUUCACCAUUGUGUGUUAGGUGCAUUAGUGAGUUAGCUAGAACAAGACAAAAGUGGUUUAGUCAAAUACUCCAUUUAUAUCAUAUGCUCGAUAGUAUACUCGAUAGAUUCUUUGAGCAGAAUUCCUAACUAACGUACAACUCUAAAACAACUCCCCCGUUAGCAAAAUCUACGCUAAUAAGUACAUUGGUAUAGCCCACAUAACCAUUAAAUGAAAUAGAAAGUCACCUGCCCGCUCACGUUAAGCGCUUAAUUCUUUAUACAUUGCUUGUUUCAUUCCAUUUCUAUAUUAUCACGAGUAUAUAAUUAUCGAAUUUCCACUCCCUUUAAGAACUCUCUUCUUUGGUAAAAGUUAUUCACUUAUUCGCAGCUAUUUCUUCUUAUCUUCUAUUCUUACAGUCGUCUUGCCAUGUUUUCUUUCUCUUUUAUCUUCUCAUGCUUAAUUAAGUUCUGCUUUGAAUAGCUUUCUUUCGUACCCAUAUUCCUAGAGGGGCUCCUCUCUUCUUUGACGAGAAAUCAGAUCUUUUGCCUAAUCCAAAGGGCUUGCCUAAUUCGAAGAGCAGGGGGCAUCCAUAGUAUAAGGAAGAGGACCCAAAAGUGACACAUCGGAUCUUGCCAGGAGUCUCAGAAUGGAAAGAAGUAUCGACAGGCUUUGGGACGGCUUUCAAACAACUUGUGUCCGAUUGAAAGAAAGGAAAUGGCUGUUAUUCUUCGGACAACUUAGCUCUUGUUGGCUAUUUACGAGCAGUUCUUUUGGAAAGGAAAAGCCGCUCUUUCUUCCCUUUUCUCCUUAUUUCGCAGUCGAGACAGAGAUGGAAUGUUCUUUGAUAGGAGAGGAAGUGAUUGAUUGACCUAAGUAAAGUAAAGCAGCACAUGGGAUCCCAAGGCUCGGGCUGUCAUCUAUUUCUUAUAAUGACACUUGGUCGGAAGAGAAGUAGUAAACUAUUUCUUUGAGAACUCAUUCAACAUCUUCUUCUUUGAAAAGUGCUCUUGCUUUCUUAUAUAGCCACGGACAGAUAAGUAGCUUCUUGAGACGUAGCUGUGAGGGCGGGAAGGAUUACAACUAGUAUAGCGGGCAGGGGGAGACAAAGAGUCAUCGAAUACGCGGUACCUUUGAUUGUCAUUUCGCAGUAGUGGGGGCGGCACCCUAUCUUUCUUUGCUUUCCAAGUGAGUAGCUGUCACACGUAUGUAGAGUCGGGGUUCACUUACUUCUUUGAUCCGGUAAUAGGAUUUCCGACAGGACGCAUCCGAAGAAGCAGCCAUCUUCAGUCCACUCUUUCAUAAGAUAGAGAGAGGAAACAUAUAGAAAGGCAGUUAUCAAGGAAGUAGCGUCCCAUGAAUCAGCAACUUUUGAAUCUCCAAUUCCCUUAGUUCAAGCUCUAUCACAAACAGCUGUAGGAAGGUUUUACUCAAAGCUAAGCUCUCGAAUGAAUUGUGCAGAUGAGUUGUUACAUAUCGGAUCUUGCAAGGGGAGAGAGUUAGUGCAUGCCGAGAGCCAAGGGGAGAGAGUUAGUGCAUGCCGAGAGCUAGAAUUCAUCCAAAGAUUCAUAGUUGUUCCAUAUUAGUAGUCGCGCUUUAACCAAUUAUGGAAGACAAGAUCUGGAAGUAGUCAAGUUCUCCGGAGGGCCCCUAGGAAAGACAGAAUAUAUUGAUAGACAUAAGUGAAGUGCAAAAGACAACGCUUGUUAGAGAUGAAGAACGGAGGAAGGAUCCACAUCCUCUAUUUUCUUUGAAUGCCUUGUCCAAGUCACUGUCUUUGGAAUUUCAGUGGGAUAAAGGUUCAAUUGCGGAAUAAUAGGUAGGUUGUGCAAAAGUCCGGAUUGAAGCUCUCGACAAACCUUUUGGAAGUUCAAAUGCAAUGGCGCCAUAGACUCUUUCUUCCGGAAGGUGUGAUAGCUAGAUUCAAGGCUUGAUAGGAGCAAGAAUCAGAGAUGCCUAGUGUCCCGGAUUGGUAGAACUCUUUCGUCCCUUCGAAACCCCGGAUUGGUAGAACUCUUUCGUCCCUUCGAAACCCGCUUCCACUCUUGAGCGGCAAUAAAGGCCUGAGACGAUGCUGGCAUCAGUCAAGUGCAAGAAGUAUAAACACAGUCAGUCUGUCUGAGGGCUUCGCAAUCCUUACCAUUCGAUUUAUCCCACUUCAUAUAUAGUUUGUACUGGAUCAAUAUCAGACGAAUAGAAGACACAGGCAAGGCACGCUGUAACCUAGCGAAGUAUCAAAGGCUCUACAUAUGGAGUUUCCGCGGAAUCCAAUCCAAUACCUUAUUGAAAAUGACCAGUACUAACUUUCUUAGACAAGCAAAAUGGGAGCGGGGAAGACCUCUUCGACAUAGAAAUGGUAGUACUAAAGCGAUGCACUGGUAAUGCCCAGCCCAACAAAGAAAGAUAGCUACGAGCUCCAGUAAUAGAAUAGAGACAGAAAAGCACUUUAGUAAUAGUAAUAGAAUGAAUUGGUAAUAGAAUAGAGACAGAGAAGCACUUUGGUAAUAUAAUAGAAUAUGGUUUGUUUCUUGAAGCACUUUGGUAAUAUAAUAUGGUUUGUUUCUUUGGCUCUUUUCAGGAAUUCCCAGCUUAGCGCACACAUGUUAUCGAAGCGGAUUUGGUAGUAGCUAGCCUAGUAAGGACGGGCUAGAUGGCAUAUGGAUGUGUCACUAUGAGUUAUAGUAAUGGCAAAAAGCGAUCACUGAUGAAGAGAUCAAUAAAGUCGUCUUCACGUUCAAAGUCUUAUUACCCCCGUUCUUUGCCCCCUGCCUGGCCAGCCUCAAUACUUCCUUCUCUAAAGCAUAGCUGUAAUAUCAUAGAAUCAGAUAUCCUCAAAGAAAACUAAAAGACUAUAGAUCAAUCUCCCUAUGGUCAAUAAAUUCAUUAAUGACAAAGAUUAUGGCAAAGAGGCUCCCAUAUCAACUAUCUAAAAAACCCCUGUACAGACUGCCCUUAUUCCGGGUCAUCUCUGAGAACAUCAUGCUUUGCUUUGAUCUUAUUAUUCAUUUGUUUCCGGACUCCUGCCGCUACACUUGAGUAGUCACUUGCCUAAUAGCUUGCCCAGGGAAAUCUCCGCUUAGUCUCAAGGUUUAUGCAAGUCUACUUAGCCGGAUGGAAGUAAGGACAAAUAUGAAAGGCAUUAAUUUACCCCCCCGCCCCUUUCUUAGAUGGAUCUAUGCUUCCAUCUUUCACUUCCUUCUUUCUUCUCCAUUCUAAUCAAUGGCUUGCCGAAAGGUUAUUUCCAUAGUUAUGAUUGUGGCAUUAUACAAGGUCAGAGAGGUGAUUGUGGCAUUAUACAAGGUCAGAUAGCCUUCUCUUUUUUUCUUAACUAUGGAAAGCUUCAGUAUUCUCCUGGAUUAUGCUCCUCCCUCAUUUUGGCCUCAUCAAUCAACACUCUGCAAAAGGAAGGCACUAGAACAAUAUCCAAUGAUCUUUUCGCGGAGAACUUAUUGCUUGCUUUUUCCUGGACCUGACCUCGUCUCCGUGACCACUCUCCGAAUUUCAUGAAGUGAGAAAACAAAGGUAAGGGCACGACUAAUAAGCUUGAAAGUGUCCGGCCACCAAGCUACUACAUCACCUCUUUUGCAAACAAAGCUCGAAUAGCAUCUCCUGCUUUCGGGAGCUACUUUUAGAGUGUUGAGUAAGCACGCGAGAAAUACAGAAUAAGGUACUCCAAUAAUGGCCAAGCAACGACUAACGAAACCGAGGGCUCCUUUUCGAAAGUUCCAUUCUUUAAGUGGCUUUCUUAUCUUCAUUCUGCAAUUCCAUUCUUCAAGUGGGAAAUUCCAUUCUGAAUAAGGGUGAAAAUGGCCCAUCUAGAGAUAGAAGAUUCACCAAACAAACUGGUGCCUCAAAAGAAAGGGUGAUUUGCCUGUUCGAGGUCAGUCAAGUCUAAAGUGUAUAGUUUCAGUUUCCAGAAUCAGAGAAGGAUAAGAAUAAGGAUCUUCCCCCCAGUAGGAACAUAAUUGGAAGCUUUAAGAUAAGGGACUGGGGUCAGAAAGAUAACUAGUCCUGUUUUUGAGAUCUGAAGCCGAAGGGGAAGCUGCUCCUAGGCAAUUCCAUUCUUACCGUUUUGUGGAAUUAUUACUUGUUUGUUCAAUUCUUGAUUCUUUUUCAGUGUCUUUACUAUUAUUAGAUAUAUAUAUAUAUAUAUUCUCUAUAUUAGGCUAUAUUAGGUGCUCCAGAGAUUCAAUUGCAUUCUUCAAGUAGAGAGUUCAUAGAAGGGCAAGAAUCCAGUAGCCGCUUUGAAGCGAGAUAAGUUCUUGGUUAAGGUGAAAGUAGAAGGUCAACAGCAAUAUACGACAAAAGCGGAACUUGAAUCUAUUGUUUCAGUUUCAUAUGUCUUUGCAACGAGAUCAGAAGCGGGAUCCCCGUAUCCAGAGUUUUCAUUCGAAUUAGGAGUGAGAUCUGAGGCAACUGAAUCAGCAAUCAAAGAUGUUGGCACAGCAGCAAGUGGUUAUGAACUUUCUUGUCGUGGAGAUGAGUUCGGUGCUAUAGUGGAAUCCCCAGUUUCAUCUGUCUUUGUUGGCUACUCUGAAAUUAGGAAUUGUUCAUAAGUUGUAUCCUUACUUAUAGAAAUGAUGUGGAAUAAGAAGCUCCGAAUUAUGAAUCCUUAGUUCGAGUGAAGUCUACUAUAUCUGAUCUUUUUGAAUGCCCUGUUUGAGUGUUGUCUCCGAGAUCAGAUGCUUGAUCUGAAGCCAUGGAAAGGUGUUUUGCUCCGGGGUAGGAGAAGGUCGGUUCUUCAAGGGGAGUCUCGGGUGCUAGUGUUUAUGUAGAAAAUAAGUAAGCUGGACAAGCGGAAAGUUUUGAGCAGCAAUCGGUUCUUUAAGGGGAGUCUCGGGUGCUUGACUUGAUGUCGGUCGUGUAGAAUGUGCUUAUGAUUCUUCUGCGCUAACUAAACUGGAUAAUUGGACUCUGUAGCUCAAUCCUCUUCCUCUCUAACAGCAUCUAUACGAGACGAGCUUAUUUUGGCCAACAUCCAGAUACUAUACAGCUGAUGAUCAUGAUCCCUACUCUCCUCUUAUUGAAUCUCUCUCUUUUGUUUCAUCUCUCUCUUUUGCAUACAUAUAAGUUUGGAAUUUCAGAGCACUUAGAGCCAACAAAGGGAAAGUCAAUAACAGAACUCGCAGACAAGAAAACUCAAACGGAACCACUUGCAGCUACUACUUUUUAACCGCCUAAAGUCCAAAAGUGGCUGUUCAAAAGAUUGAGUAGUAAAUAAGGAUUGGUGCGGAAAAGAAAAGAGGGCGGCCCCUAUUCUUCUCAUCAUAUUAAAGGGGCUUGGGCUGGGCUGUAAAGCCGGCCUUACUCAACAAGCACAUUAGUAAGGUUGCUUGUUUCCCCCCCACUCAUUGAAGAUUCUAUCUACAAAAGAAGCGGGGGAUACAAAAGUGGCUAUCGCUGCUUCCUCUUUCGUUCAAGCGGCAUGAAGCUCAUCUUCAUUGACUGACUCGUAAAUGAGCCCGUAACCCUAGAAGACGGACUGACUGGCAUCGUAGUACAAUAUAGAAUUCCAUCGAAUCGUGAGAAGUUAUGAAAGUCAACCGUUCGAAAUCUGUCUUUAAGAAGCAACCACUGCUAAACGCUCUAGAAAGUAGAACAACAUGAGAUUACUCCUUUAUUAAACAUUCUGUUAUUAUAGGCAGGUAAUCCUAACUUCAAUAUGUUGCAGUUGACUGAUCCGGCAUGGAGCCAACAUCUGACCCGGCUUUACCACUCGCAUAGUAAGGCACAUGAACAUUAUUUAUUAGCCGUAUCGGCCACAACAAUUCCAUUCCUGACUCGUUGGUUUGAGUGAAGGUAUAUGAUCGGGAUAACUACGCUUUCCACCCAUAGCUUUCCCUUCUUGUGAUUCAGCACCGCCAUUGCCAGGUUCACCGUAGCCAGAACGAGAAAAUGAGAAAAUAUUGUAUUCAAUUGGAUCGGAGCUACGAGCAAACUCUGUGUAUCAUGCAUAUCUACCAGGCUCGGUAGAAUACACCUGAUAGCACUGGUCUACCAGGCUCGGUAGAAUACACCUGAUAGCACAGCAUUAUCGUAAGCCUCCACUUUUUGAGUGACUAUUUGAGUAUCAUAUAAUAUAAACCCUUGUUAGGAACUGCAUUCCCGCUAUUUGAAGUUAAUGAAAUAGCAUUACCUAUCAUAUAGGAAACAGUACAAGUAGGGACUUUCAUCAAUAACCUAUAGUCAACUUACCAGACAAAAACCCUAUACGGUUUACGUGCUUCACUAACUGUUGCAUUACUACCAAUGCUAUCAGAUCUAUGUCUGCACUUCGUAGGUGUCAAGGCUUGUUAUACUUACGCCAUUCUCAUUCCAGAAUAUAAGAUCCUUGCGCCUUUACUAUGAGAAAAGACUGUUUAUAUAUCCAAAAUAUCCAUGAUUAUUUGUUCUUUAUCCAAUAACCUGAAAGUUGGGUCUUUGUAAGAAUAGAACAUCUCUUUUCUAGUGCAAGCUGUAGUUAUUUGGAGAAGCUUCCCAGCUCUUUUGCUUUGAAUGAAAUAGAUACCACUUAUCAGUAUGAAUCAUCCCGCCAUCCAGAGUGCCUCCACCAUCCACUGUAGUGACAUAUUUCUCGUUACAACUCACUACCUUUUCUACUUUUCGAUCCCAUAUGAUCUCAUCUUUCACACUACAAUUCUUAGGCCUCUGAUCCAUAAAAAGACUUCUAAUAGAAUGACUUUGAAUAGGACGAAUAAGAUCUUGGCACACUAUAUGAGUAUUGCUCUCCUUUCCGUUUCAUUUGUGAACUUCUCAACUACUUUCAUUGCAAUAAAGGCAUCCUUCUGAUGAAUCAAGUUUACGUAAGUAGCCACUUGAGUCUUGCGCUUAUUCCUCUAACCCGUAGGGACCGGACCCGGAGAGUGACUCGAUGUCUUUUCAUAGAAUUCUUUUCAUAACCCCACAUAUUUCCGCUUUAUUGCUGCCCAUAUAAUCCAGCGAAGAAAAUGAUAGAAUGAUCAUGUAAAUUGGGAGAGCCUUUGGGGAGAGUUUCCUAGCUAUUACUAGAGGCAUGGUGACAGCAAAAGGAUCUCGUGAUCAGGCAAUCCAUAGGCUCACGUAAGAUCCACAUCGACCUGUGUUACGAACCUUUCUUAUAGUAGAGUUUGUCUUACCCUGCCCGCCACCCCUUCUAGUUUGCAACCCAUAUCUGCUUGGUGUCAAGCCAAUCAUCAUUAGUCUUCUUCGACCACGGAAACAGGCUUGGGAAGGGAAGUCCGUAGGGCGUUGGUUUCAUUCAUUCUUAAAGGGGCAUAUUGGUGCAUUGUCCUACCGGUAUCCUCCCCAGCUAAGCUGCUGGGAAGCGAUUUGUCAGAGUCAGAGGUGGUUUCAAGUGUGCCAAGCGUCUCCCUCAAUAAGUACUAAUAUGAAUAAGUCCAAAGUGUUCUUUCCCCCCAAUCGUCUCUUUUCAUAGAUAGGCUUUCUAGAAUCGGAUGGCAAAACACACUCAAAGAGCAAAAGACUAACUAACACUCUCCACAUCCUUGCAGAUUAUUAUAUUGUAGAAUCUAUUUGCAGUGAAGUGCCUUAUGCCGAAAAUGGUCUUGCACAUAAUCGUCUUCAUCCCAUGCAGCUUGACGGAAUGCCUUCUAGAACGAGAGUGAAGAAAGAAGGGCAGAUCUCUUUUUGGAUAUUAUGAUUUGACCCCAGUCUAGCAUUCUUCCUCUAUUACUUUCCCUUUCACGGUUAAGUAGAUAGUAUGGCCCCUUCCCUGGCCCCGAAACCAAGAGUAACUCGUCGAAAGCUUGAUUGACCAGAAAGACAAGCAAUAGGAAAGAAAUACCCAUAAGGAAAGCCAUUAGCGGUGUAAGCGAUAGCGGGUAGUCAGAACUAACAGUAGGGCUAUUCAAAGCAUCGAGCAGUAAAGGAAGCAUCUCAACAUUAAGGGGAAUAAGCUCUUGGCUGCCAUCGUUUCAGUACGAGUAAGAGGACUGAGGUUUUUUCAGAAGAGGACAUCGAAUAGGCUCUGGAACGGAUCACCUUCCUUCUUACAGGGCACGAGAUGGGCCAGUAAUUGAUUCUUUUCUUUCCUAGGUUGAAGCUCUUUCGGUAUUACCGCAGCACUCGGUAGCAGCCAAAUACUCCAAUUGUGACUAUACCCUCACCUCUUAGCUCAGCAGGUUUCAAACCUUUCUACCACGGAAAGACCCAGGACAAAGGUCAAGAAAGAACAUAGAAGGACCUAUACUAGACCCACCUAUAGAGUAUCAAAAUCAGAAGCUAAUAGGGAUAAAGCCUGCCGAGGUAUGCUGGCCAAAGAAUAAGUGGCUUUGACACCUGGGACCAGAGCAUGUCGUAGCACGGCUUGAAGCCUCAUUCUGGAAUCAUUCUUUAAACCGCACAAUACAAUGGAGAGUUAUAACAUGGGGAGUGGACCUCUCCACAUUCGCAAGUCCAUUUGCCUUCCGGUCUAUUACCUGAGUUAACACUCAUGUCUUUUAUCCGUGCCUUGGCGUGGCACUAUACUUAACAAGUGGAUACUCCAGUAGAUAGCAGUCGACUUUACCCAGUAGCUUCUACAGAAAAAGAGUGGAUUGAUGUUCGAGAGAGAAAACGGACCCGAAGACUCUAGGACUGUCACUUAGUUGGCCGCUCGUCACACCCUUGAAGGGGCAAGCAAGGAAGUGAAUGAGCUCUAAUAGGCAUAGGCAUUCGCGUUUUCCGUUGUUUUCUUAGGUUGUUGAUGUUAGAAACGAAUCGUCCGGUAGUUCUGACUUUCCCUACCUUCUUUAUGACACUUAAUCCGAUCAAUAGUUGAAGGAAACUGAAUCCGAUCAAUAGUCGAAGGAAAGUAAAGGGCCAGACAGAGUUGGUCAUUCAAGAAGCUUUGGCUAGCCAGCUUGACUUAUGGAAAAAGAAUCGAAGGAAGGGUCAAUCUGUUUAAGAAAGGAAAUAAGGGAACUUAGAGCAUUGAAUGGCACGGAAAGAAAACAACAGGAGCAAAAACCCGCUAUAGGAAAAGCAUCUUGGAAGCUGCAUCUCAUUGAUUAGGUAGUAGGAGAAAACAGUCUAUUAGGUAGGGCUAACAGUCUAUCAUGUCGUAGUUCUAACCUGAUCGUCUUCAACCUUGUAGUAGUUCUAACCUGAUCGUCUUCAACCUUAUAUACGAGAUUGGAACCAGAAAGAGAUGAACCAUCCAAUUAGAUGACAUAGACUCUAUUUGCAGCUAGGUGUAUUGGGACUAGACGGAUUCUGGACCUAAGGAUGAAUGCCCGGUUUCAGGCAAGGAAGCGGAUCACAGUGUCUAGACGCAUUCAUGAUUGAAUCACCUUUUUUGCAUAAUGGUUUCCCUCAUUCACUGAUUAACGAUCAGAGCUCGAAGCCUUAAAGCUAAGGUCUGAGGCAACGAGUGAAACCGCUGUCAAAAUACAAUAGGUGCCGGAGCUGCUCCUACUGAGUAUGACUGGACAGCAUUGGACUCUUUCUCUUCGUCUGACCGGACACAGCAUUGUACACUUUCUCUUCGUCUGACCGGACAGCAUUGGACUCUUUCUCUUCGUCUGACCCUGCCACCCAUCUUGGAUUUUAUGAAGCAACCAUCACUGAAGCAAUUGAUUUUGUAGCUCUAUUUCACAGGUUAGCAGCAGAAAUGGAAUAAUUCCCGAGUGGACGAGAAGAAGCCCCUAUUAAGGGAAGAGAAUCAAGGGCUAAGUUCAAAAGGCCCAGUUAUGUAUUCGAUGGAAUUUAUGUUGCUGCGACUUCCAGUUCCGCACCUGUACUGCCAUUUCCCUGGGAUGAAUGUGAAAACCAGCCUUCUCGGGCACGACCGUCGAUGGGGGCAAUUCCCGGAUGUGCUUAAGUUCCAUUCAUUGCUCGCUUGAAACCUUUAUGGCUGUGAAUCUAUAACCUGCUCUAUAUGCAACACUAGUAUCACUAAUUACCUAUACCUAACCUAAUAUCCAACGACAUAUAAGCAAUACCUUAGCACGCACCACUUCCGGAAAGCGCCUAUCACGUUCCAUUAUGGACUAUAUAUAAGCGCCUUUAUAACGUUAGCUCGCUAGUAAGGCAAGGAAUGCUCGGGCCAAGCAACUAAGUCAGACGUUGGGCGGCCCCUAUAUGCUUGCUAUACCUAUUAUGCUUGCUAUAUCUAUAUGUGUCUAUGCUAUCCAUGCUAUCCCCAUAUGCUUGCUAUACCUAUAUGUAUGUGCUUAUGCUAUAUCAGAGGUGUAUUGUCAUUGUUGUAUUUAAAUAGCAAUGACCUUUCACUAAGGAAUUUGUGGAAUGGGGCAAAUAUCCAUUAUUACUCCCAGUCAAAAUCUUCAUAAUAGUCUACUUAGGGAAUGAACUAUCUGCUAUGAAUUUGAAGCAACUCAUUGUGAUUGCGUCGACUUGGUGAUUGAAUUAGAGAUCCGUCAUUACUAGAAAACAUAGUUCCAUUCCUGUCAUAAUGCUGAAGUCGGUUAAACAUUAUUUUAUGACCAAGAAAGUACUCAUCUAUCAUCCAUAGGUAAUUCCGUAUUGACUCUCACCCGUUGAGACAAUGACUAUUCAGUAUUACAUACAUACAUACACAUAUGAAAUCAAUUCCUUCACGCUUUGAUAUGAAAUAGUAUGAUUUCUCUAUUAGUAGGAAAGGAAUGUUAUGGUCAUUUCGUUUCUAAAGAUGUGGUAGAAAGCAACUAAGACUUGAAGGACAUGAUCCGCUGUAGAUUGAUUUUGACAUCCACUAGUUUCCUUUGGAACGUGGCUAGACUAUGCAUGGGUUCCAAAGGUACAGUAGUAAUAAUGAUGCUCCUGGCUAUACAUAGGUUCCUCUGGUACAUGAGUAAUCUCAUUUGUCUUUGGUUGUAUAGUACCUUGUCUUGUCUUAGAUUUGUAGUACUCUUGUCUUAGGUUUAUAGUACAUGAUGGAGCUCGAGCAGAAAGGAUUGAUUAAUUUGUCAAAAGGGAAGGUUAGUGCCAAUCAAUCAAUAAGUUAGUUAGACCAACAAUCAAUAAGUUAGACCUACUUUGUUAGUAUAGAUAUAUAAUGGAAUCCAAAAGGUAUAUACAUAGAGAAGAUACCAUAUAAUGGAAUAAAGAUAAGACUAUUUCGAUCCAAAAGUGUUGUAUCAUAUCACAGAAUAGAGGAAUCCCCAGUCUUCGUAUUCUAUUUCCAUAGGUAUUCCAUUACUAUAUAUACUAUACAUAUAGAAAUCAUGAAAAAGAAACAAAAGUGCUGAAAUAGCUCCUUUCUUUUGAAAGGUGCGUAGCGGUGCUGAAAGCCUUAGUAAUUAAUGUCUAAACCCAAUGAUUUCACAAAGCAAGGAGAAAAGAUAAAGGAACGAACAAGGAAAGACUAUUGUCAAUUGUGGAUAAGAAUAAGGAAUCCAAAUAGAUGAGAGAUGAGACAACCAAAAGAAAAGAGGUUAGAUACGGCUCAAGAACCAGAAAUGUAUAAGGCCCUUCGCAUUCGAUGCGCUUCCUGUCCUGCUUGAAAUAUGACUUUCUCCUUGCCAGGGACUUGCUUGUCGAGGGUCCUCAGAGCUCCAUCAGAACUAAGAUGAUGACUUGAUUAAGAAGCAUACAGGAAGGGCGCUUAAGAAGGUCGAGGCUUGAACCCCUAACCACCCUAUUUCUUUAUCGUCGUAACCACCCUAUUUCUUUAUCGUCGUCUAAGAAGGCUGUGACCCCUAUUUCUCUAAGAAGGCUGUGACCCCUAUUUCUGAUUUCUCAUUGUGGGCCUGUAGUGAGUCGGGUUUUCGCAAAUAAUGUGUUAGUUGGUUGCCAAAGAUGUGUGCACUAGAUGAAAUUCCGUGUUGGCUCGUUGUGUGCUAAGGAUUAUUCUCGGGAUGCUGACUACUGUCGUUACUAGUUUCGCCUUUUGAACCCAGUAGUAGUGGGCCUUAACCGCUUACCCUAGAGACUUUGACACAGAUGAACUUACCGCAAACAAUAACUCAACUAUACUGAAGUAAAGAAGCCCUGAAAGCUCUAGUUAGGGGGAAUUCGUAGAAACUUAGAGAAAAUGGUGCUUCCAACUAGAACACUCUAGUAAUAGGUUCAGUAAUAGGUUAGGUUAGGGUUCCGGUCAAUAAUGGAGCUUCUAUAACACUUACAGUGCCGAAACACCCACAGUGCCGAAACACUCACUGUGCCCCCGAUAUAAUACUCUUUUACUUCACGGAGUGCAUCCAAUCAAUUCUCUUCUUUCGCCUGAGUACGUUAGCUUCCUUGAGCUUUGAGAGCGAGUGCGCCGGGCAAUAAUAAAUGGAGUCUAGCGUAAGGUUGCCUAGCUGAGUGAUUCAAAUCCUUAGAGUUAGCAGUGAGAUUACUUUAUUACAGAAGUAGUGAGUUAGAUUCAUUUCCAUUCAAUUGCUGCUUGACUAAAUUAUGGAAUUGCUGGUUUACUGGCCGUUAAUGCAAGUAAAGUAUAGAGCGUGCGCAUGAGAGAGUUCUUUAGGAAGCAAUGGCAGCUAAUUAAUCUAUUGAGAGCAAAGGCGCAAGGCCAAGCUACUACCGCUUAGUACCUUCUCGCAAGACGACAUAAUCUACUCUCUCCUUAGUACCUUUCAGGAAGGACGACAUAAUCUACUCUCUCCUUAAUACUUUUCAGGAAGUACGAUUGGGAAGAAUAAUCAAGUUAGUUGACAACCAACCCGUAGACAAAGGCAGCAAGGAAGAGCACAGCACUACGUUUACAACCCGUAGACAAAGGCAGCAAGCAAAGGUGAGUUUACCACCAAUCCGGAGACAAGACAAAGUAAGCAAGCAUAGAGUGAAAUGGGCUUUCAGCACCUUAUUUUCUUAUAGAAUAGAGACAACUUAAAGAACCUCGCUUAGAUACAACUCAAAGAACCUCGCUUAUACAUAUUUCUCUAAUAAAGCCUUAUUUGACUUAACCUUAUUUGACUUCAAUUUAUAGAACAUUGAUAAGCAUCGACCUUACAGCUCAUAGGGUUGACUUUCUGACCUGAGAUCGGGAACAUCAGUUCCGCGCUAAGAUAGCGUACCGGCUUCAAACCUUUCAUCGACCCUUGCCUUUAGUCGUCUUGUCUCGUAAAGGCAAGUACGAUAACGAUACCAACAUAGUUCCUGGUACGAUAACGAUACCAACAUAGUUAAUGCUUCUCCCCGCUUCCCGAACUAGCAGGCAGAUCUCAUAAUAAGCUAAAGUACAAGAGGCACUGAGACUAGCUUGAUCACAAACUCGGUCAACCUCUAUCAUAUCUAAUCGUUGAAAGCAUCCAACCCUCGGGUUUCCUUUCCAAAAAGCACUUGCACUUUAGCAUCUGACUUCCACUGUCCUUACAGAGUUUCCAUUGGAAUAUGUUCUCUAAUGUUCUCUGGAAUAGAACUACUUACUUAACGUACGUCUAUCGUGGAAAUGAUGAAAAAGCUAUAUUCUUCAUACAAAGAACAUUGAAGCAAUCAGAUAUCACAUAAUAGGCCUCCGCUACAGCAUGGUCUACCACAGCAGACAGGUCCACAUCUGCUUCUUUGGAAUCCUCUCACGCCUCUUUGGAAUCCUCUCCACUAACGGCUAGCGUAAUGCUUCAAACAUCCAAGUCGGACGGUAAGGAGUCAUCCAGUAGAUUUCGGGUUAGACGAGCAAACCUACUCUAUCAACUUGUUUCUUUCUCUCUCUAUAUAAAUAUUCUCAAUUUCAGAACUACCAACCUUAUAACCAUACUUGAGGUUUUCUGAAAUGCUCCUAACUUACUGUUAGCAACCCAAGCUUAUUCUCUAUUGAUACUAUAACCAGCAAUUCCGCUGCUGUCUAGCGAUCUCAAUUCAGUGAACUGCCUCCUCCAUUGAUAGUAUCACCCCAACUGUAACUGCUUGUAAUUCAUUUGUCCAACUGCUUCCCUCCCUUAUAUAUCUACCUACAUCCAGUCCAGCAACCAAGCUAAUUCCAUUACAAUCUCAAUUGGAAACCUAAUACCCACAUAAUGUUCUUGUGAGUCAAAACUUCCAUCACAAUUAAGCUUCAACCAGGAAAUAGGGGUUUUUCCAUUGUACAAGGAGAAUCUUGUCCUCCAAUUCCUUUAGAUCAGCUUGUCCUACUGCAGAAUUCCUUUAGAUCAGGAUAACAAACUGCAGCAAGAAACAUAUCAUGAAGCUUUGUACAGGAAAUAGGUGUAAGGAUUUGACAAUGAAUAUAAGAAAGAGAGAGAAAGAGAAGUAUAUAAAAUGAAUGAGCAUUCUUUCUGUUAAAUAGAAUUCCUGGCCAUGCAUAACAAGCAAAGGCAAUAGGUAAUGCUAGCACUAAGAAAGAUAAGGCUCUGUGUAGUAAGUUCGGCACCCUAAAACAACCAUGCACCUUCUUUCCAAUCAUUAUUGUAUUUUCAAAUCCAUCCCAUUUAUUGUUGAAAGAAAUAGUUCCCAAACGAGCUGGACUCCUAUAAGCAGUGGUUCCAAUCUUAUAGUAGCAGUGCCAGUUUACAAGUCAGGAUAGGUGAUCUCAUUCUAUCAGUAGAACCAUUCAUUCUUAGAGACACAUAGCUCAUUCUGCUAUUAACAUGAAUAAGUCUUUCGAUGGUCGAUUGUCAUCGCUCUCAUUCAUCGAGGUGUCCACCACCGCACCCGUGGCACGGAAGAAACAAACACACCUAGAGCAGAGGACAUGCACUUUAAGUCAAAUAACGAAUUCAUUUAGGGGCUGGGCAACAAUAGAGCACGGUAGGUCCACACUCGUUCUUCAAUAAAGCACGGUAGGGAGGGACUGCCGCGUGAACUAAGGAAAUUCAUGGAUUCCUAUAAUCAAGAACUGCUGGAUCUGGAUCUGCUCGAGGAAAGCCAACUGAGUACACCUAUUCUUUUCUUUCAACUGCUGAAACACUAAGUUAAUAAGUUUGACCAUAUUAAUAAGAAGCCGAUCUAGCACAUCCAGAGAAUAGAGUCUUAUACAAGAGAUCUCAAUUCCAUUCUUUUGGUUGCCAUUACCAAGUAGUGCUUUAGUUGCUUGACUGAUAGCAAAGAUCUUCUUGCCCCAACUCGUAGUAUACUAAGGAUUCCACUAGAAAGAUGGUGUUAAAGCCAACAACUCUCAAUCCGGUCUUUCAAGCCAACAACUCUCUCCAGAUAUAUAAGUGGCACAGGACCCAGUUCUAGUUCUAGGAUAAGAAUACAGAUCUCGCAAGCAGGAGAAGAAUAGGAUAAGAAUACAGAUCUCACAAGCAGGAGAAGAAUCAGCUGUAUUGUCUCCAGGAAAGUACUAUCAAACAAAAGCAUAAGAGUAAGUUCAUAGGGUGUUAAAGCCUAAACCUAAAAAGAUGGUGGAGCAGGAUCUGAUGUCGAAGUCGUUGGUUCCUCACUUCCAAUUGACUAGCGGCCCUUUAGCUCGAACACAGGUUAACUCAGGUAAGGACACUGUUAUGACCGACUCGCAACUACGGAAGGUAUCAAACAGGUUAACAAUAGCUCCUACUCUUCAUCCCGUGAGUGCUUCCUUGAAAGUACCAGGUAAAGUGUUCGUAAACUACAUGUGGUUAGUGACUUUAUUCUUCUGGUAGUAUUGUUCUUGUUCUUGUUGAAUACCGAGUUUAGUUGCUUUUGGUGCUUCUUCAAGGAUAGUUUCAUCUUUAUUAGUUGAAAGAGUUAGAUUCGAUGCUCUAGUAUUGACUGGCAAGAACAGAACGGAUAGAGUUAGAUGAGCCGACCUCCCAACUUGCUUGUUUCAUUGAGUGCACUAUUAGUUGUUUCAUGAAAUACCUUAUCCGGGUAGUCUCGAAGAUUGCCAACACCGAACCUCUCCCGAUUGACAAGCACCCGAACUUGACUUUCUUUAUGAUUCUUCACCGACUACACUGUAAACUCUCCCUGCCGCCACUAAGUCUGUCUGGGCCGGCUCUCCUACUCAAGAUAAAGCUUCUUCAUUUCUUUCUUCUAUUGGGCAUGUGCCUGCUUAUGAUUGUUCGAUAGAUCCUACUGCUCGAACAGAACUGUCAACUACUUUCCCUGACGACUUAACCGAUUAAUUGGUUCUUCUCCCGUCGACAACACCCGACCCGACCUCUCCUAAGGCUACAAAUACACUUCUUAAACAGAAGCUUACCUCGAACAGGGGCAAGCAGACAAGUAGGCAAGUCGGACUGGAACAAGUCUUAAUUGAACUCAAAGCAAAGAUACAAGCGUAUACUAGAUGCGGGCCAAGUCACUAAGGGCCAAGUCACUACUCAUGUGUAGCGGCUGUAACAACAAGCUCUUUCACUCCUCCGCUAUACUAACUCUUUCACUCCUCCGAUGAGAAUACAUCUUCUUUUACUGUUUUCUUCUUUUACUGUUUUCUUCUUUCCUCUCCUCUUGCUACUGCUACUACUCCGGUAUUUCACUAACAAAGCGACUACUCCAGUGGGAGACAAUAUCUGAUCAUCGGGCCAAGUCACUCUGGUAUGAAUUCUCCGAGUCAAGUAAAGGCUUUGAAGCAUAAGAAGAAUAAGGUACUGUCAAACAAAAAGGCUUUGAAGCGCUACUAAGUGGUCCAACCAACCCCCAAGCAUGAAAGAAAGGCGAUUCUUCAACAGCAAGACUUCACUCCUUAUUGCCAGAACCUAGUUAUAUUUCUCACAAACCAUACCAUAGACUAUUUCUGGAAAGUAGACAAGUAAGAAGAAACAUACUACUGGAAAGAAUUCAAAGCGGUAAAGCAAGACUCAAAGGGGCUGUAGCCGAAGAGCAAAAGAGCGCCCACAAUUAGUGUAAGGAGUCUCAGUUGGGGAGUUAGGAGUCACGGACCUAGUUUGUAUUCGGGUAAUUAAAGACAGGAGUGUGGGCUGGAAUGAGUAUCUAUAAAAAAUGCAAAGGGAGUGCUAGAGCAAUAAGUCAGACUUCAGGGCAUUAGUUUCAGUUGAUGUGUUUCUGGCGGUAGGGGAGUGAACUCAGGUGUUGGUGAUUUUCUUUAUGCUGAUUCCUUUGUUCGAGUGUGAUUACGUGCACCACUGUUGGGUUAUCAGAGGCCUAUGCUCUGGUUUCAGUGGUUCUCAGAGUCCUAUGGCUAUGUUGUUUGUCUUGCUUUCCCUCAUUUCAUUAUUUAUUGUUCCAUCCUAUAUUUGGAGUGAAAAACAGCCUGUGGCGGUCCGGGCACUCUUUCAUCAUUCCCUUUCAUUCAUGCCCUGUCCUGUUUCAUUCUGAUUGUGAUUGGCGCAAACAAAAGCUCUACCUUUGCUGUAUUUGAAGGCUGUUUGCUCCGGUAAGAUGUCCAAUGCUUAUUCUUAUAUCUGAGUUUAGUGUGCCGGUGCUCGUUAAGUAUAAAGCAGAGUGCGUAUCAAUGUGGCUAGCAGAGUUCGUAUCAAGUAUAAAGCAGAGUUCAUAUCAAUGUGGUGGCUAGCAGAGUUCGUACCAAUGUAGGUAUAGGUACGGGCAACUGGGCAAGGUACGGGCAAACUGCCUAGUCUACCAAUUCCAAAAGCAGGUUGUUGAUACAAAAAGUGAAAUAGAACUAGUUGGUUUUUCGUCGGAUUCCCCUAAUCAAAUAGAAGAGAAUAUUAUAUGCAAUAACGUUUAGAUACAGGCUUUCAGCAAGGAGCUAAAGAAUUAGUUCAAAGCUAGGGUCUUGUUAGCUGCGGUUCGAUCCGAUAGUUAGUAGCAGCUUGGCGAGUUGAGCUCCUACGCUUACCGCUCUGAGUCCACUGCUUGGCAUAUUAAUAGAUGUUCAUAGAUGUGUUAGUCCCGUACUGUCCACACUAGCUCAAUUCUUUGGCUAUGUCUUUUCAUUCCCGGUUCACAAUUCCAUAGUUUCCAUUUUCAGCCUUGCUUUUUCUAUUGGAAUUCUUUCUUGUGUGUGGGGAGGGACAUUAUUAUUAUUAGAAGCCCGAGUUGCUGCCUUGUUUGUAGUAGUUCGAUCCCAAUCAGUUCCGGGUUUAGUUAGCAUCAGUAGGAUCGAGCCUUGGAAACAACAGUAAAAGCAUGAAAGCCAGUCAAGAGUUUUGGUUUAAAAGCAAGGAAAGUAAGGCGCGUAAGUAAAAGACUAUGUUUGUCCGUAGGGGCAUACUGAACCAAGAGAUAUUGUUUGAAAACUUGUAAGGUAAGCAUAAAAGAAAGUAGCGUGAGGCACAUAGGAAGUAGAGCCAGGUUCUAGUUUGAUAAGUGAGGAGAGCUACUCAAGAAUGAUAUCCGGCAAAGGCAUACUCAACAUGGGAAUGCAGGGGACAGGUCAAAGAAUGAGAGAGCAUAGUAUAAGUUUGAGCAAAAAGGUCGUUUUUUAGUUCAGUAGCGCUAGGCGAGAGAUACAAAUACAGAUAUGAGAUCGAGGAGUCAAAGAAUGAGAUAGGGCCCCGGCAUAGACAAACUCGGCAUUGAGGGCAUUAGCGGGAGUUUGGGAGCUGUUAUUAUCCUAAUUCUAAUUAGGGGACGCAUACUUUAAUACAGGAGUUUCGGAUUGAAGAGAAGGGUCAUAUUGUAGAUUAUUAGUUUCAUAGUAAGGCUUGUCUCUCAUACCAUGGCUUAGGCUUCUCUAGUAAUGAGCCCCAUUCUGAUCUCUUGUUACACGGUGCAUUCUUUGACUUUUGUAUUUCAUUCUGUAUUUCAAUUAUCUGCCUUUGUAGUAAUGACUUGGCCCCGGGAUUUGGAAUAGCAAUAAGAGAAAGAAUAUGAGCAGACAAGUGAACCUUAGCUACUAAGGAGGGGAAGGUAUCAACCUAAAGAUAUAAAGUAUCGGGUUGGUGCUCUAGUAGUUUCAUCAAAUUCCGGGUAGAGGUAUCGGUGCUGUAACUCCAAUCCAUUGCAGCAAGAAAGAUCAAUAAAGGGAUUGAUUGACCGGGUGCGGACUUGUGAACAGUGAGCAUAUAGGUAAUAAAGGCAUCAAAUAAAUAGGAAAAACUCGAGUAGGCGGCUGACCCUGGUCUUGUUCGAGGAAGAAUAAAGAAAAGGCGUAGCUGUUUCCGUUAGGGGAAUAAUCUAAUAUCUGACUUCCUUUGAAGCUCCAGUUACCGGUGUUACUUAUUGAAAAUCUGACUUGAUAGUUCUAUCUGUCUUUGUUGUCGACGAAGCAGUAAGUACUGAAUUAAGAAGGGGAGUUUCCGAGGUUAAUACCCAGAAGAAGAGGAUUGAUCUGCACACUAACAGGAAAGGGAGUUGGACAAACAAAUAAGAUUAUAGGCAUCUGUGUUCAGCAAGUAGUAAAUAUAGAAGUAGUUGCGGCGUAUACGCUUGGUUGUUUUACUCGGUGCUCGACUCAGUGUGUUAGUUAGUCUUAUGAGCAAGUCCAGUAAAGUUUUCACGGGUCGUAAAUUACCGAUCUCCUGUGGAUAGCUCCAUUUUCUUCUUUAGCGCUGUUCCUAGGAUAGCUCAAUGGUUUUUGAAUGACUUUCCGGGGUGUGCUGGGCGCCUAUGAUCUUAGUUUAGCAUCCGCAGUAAUUAGUAUCUAGAUCAUCUUCUGUUGCUUUAGUCGGCGAACUCACUAACGCUUUAUUUAUAUGUGUUCCUUUUUUCUGCUUGAACUUAUUAACGCUGCUUGCCUACUUGCUUUGCCUUUUUGGCCUGAUUUCCUGGACACUUUGUUGAUAAUGUCCCAACUUCAUAAGACUUCCGCGCUAACAUUAGCCAUAAGAUGAUUGAGGAGAGGUGUUCACGACCAGAGGUGUGUUUGUAUCUUAAUAAGUUCCCUAACUGGGGGCGCUUUAUAAGGCUUCUUUCCAAGUCAAGACAAUCUCUUUCUGGUUGUUUCACCUAUGCCUAUGUGUAACUCUGCUAGGGUGUGUAACCUUCUGCCUAUGUGUAUAACUCUGCUAAUGGCAAAUCCUCCAUUGAGUGAGGUAAAGUUAGGCUCAGAUAAUGCCUUUUGCCGUAUCUCUUAGCUUUGCUUCGAACUCGCUAACUUGCGCACUUGCUCAUUGCAAUUACUCUCAAAGACUUUCUGAUUUAUUGCUCUAAGCUUGUUUAUAGGCUUGUGUACUUGCUUUAAUCAAGCUUGUUUAUAGGCUUGUGUACUUGCCUUUAAUCAAAUAAUCUUUAUUGGCAGCCGAACCUCACUUAUUGCCUGGCCCCGAAGCACCCCAACCCCAAGAAGUCAGCUAACGCACAACUCAGCAGAACUCAACAAACUUGGGAAAACAACCGAGUAAAAGAGCUUACUAGCGCGAUACUAGUUCAAUUAAAAAGCCAAGCCGGUAAGAUUCAUAAGAAGGAAGGGGAAGCCAGUAAAGUCAGAUUCUUCAGAUAGAUUGAAGCCGGUAAUUAUAUAUGAGAUAUAAGUCAGUGUGUUAUCUUGGUGUUGGACUGUAAGCGCUAAGUCAGGAGCAUGGUGUAAAGGUUCUGUUCUAGUUUCAUCGACAAGAGAAUCAGUGGUCCAAAAAUAAGCAGCAGUGAGAGUUUAGGUCGGAAAAGGAAAAUCAGAUAAUACUGGCCGGGGCAGCAAGCGGGUCAGAAAGGAGAGUUCGACUCAAAUCCAUGUUAGUUGGCGACCGUUGAGAUCGAUUCAUAAAGUGUAGUUUCGUAUGAACUCCUACAGUUGCUCACAUAUGAACUCUUACUGUUGCUCACUUAAACAACACUUUCAACAAAUUCUUCUUCCAUUUCAAUCGAGACUCCUGGAAUUUCUUCUGUCCCCAACUCCACUUGAAGAGACCCGAACUCGUAUACUAGGCGAAGGCAAUCUGAUCUAGACUACAGGGCAAAGGCAAUCUUAUCUAGCUUUUGAUACUGAUCCAGCAUAUCAUCUUACUGAUGACGACUUUACCCCAACCUAUUCUUCACCCCCCGCAUCUUCCCUAUCUCCUAUUCCGGAGAAAACUCCUAAUUCUAUCUCCGACUCCGAUUACUAUUGCUUCUAUGGCUUCAGAUUCAUCAUACUAUGUAGAUAAAUGAUUCCUUCUUUCCUUUGCGCCUAGUAGACUACUGGAUUAUUUGUUAGCACCUUAUUUGCUAUUAUUAUUAAUAUUAUUUGUAUACUACCUAAUGCACUAGAUGACGUACCUGCUUUAGAUAGGGUAAUGCACCAUCUAGUACCAGCUUAUGUCCUUACUUGGAGUUCCAUUCCGUAUGUGGAGAGUUUUCUUCUGACUUUCAUCUAAGAGCACGAGGGUACGGGUGGUUACCUACUUAUACAGGGUUAGGUGGGUGAGUGACUUCUUUCUAUCAUACCUAUAGCCAGAGCAGCGGAACAAGACCAAUUUAGUUGCAGUAGAUCCAGUAGUCUCAUUUCGUUUUAGCUAGUUUCAUCCCGCCACGCAGUACAGCUUUCGAUCAAGCUUCUUAUCUUUCUACUGCAUCUUUCAACUCUUUCGUCACUGGAUUUUGGAACAGAAACGGAAUUAACAAGCACGCGGCCCCUGUUGAUUCUCGAGUGUACUUAACAAGCACUAGACCCACACUUCUAGUUAGCGCAGAAAAACGAAUUGACACAACACCACCACUCAAUGGUUCAUCUGAUCUAUCUUUUGAAACGGAUCCAGCCUUUUCAUCAGAUCUUUCAACUUCUCCUUAUUCUUUGAAAUAAGUCAGAAUUGACUCUCCUUGAAGAAUCGAUUCCUCGUAUGCUCCAUCUUUAGCUUCGGAUCCAAAUGGGGCUGAUGAUCUCUCUCUCGUUGACAACACUGUCACACCCGAACUACACUUUUUGUGCAGAAUGGAAUUGAACAACUUCAGUUAGCGCCUUACCUUAGCCAAAGACUGGAAUUGACCUUAGAGAAACUCCACUCUUUUUGCUUAUCUUUCUAAGAAGAAAACGGAUUCUCGUGGAGACUUGACUCGAGCAGGAAAUCCAUCUACAUCAUAUACUUGAGUACUUACCGCUUCAAAGCCAAUACCAGAGAUCCUUAUUCUGGACCUGCAUCCGAUCCAACUCAUUCUUUGGAAUCUUAUUCGGCUCUUGCCCCAGAACUAGACUUGACUCGCACCGCUACAGCUGAAGAAGUAGUUUACCCAGCUUCCGCCCCAAAGUCCACUUUCCUUUCCACUUGCUAUGGUUCGGUUCCUUGAUAAAGAAAGCAGAUUCUCUCAACUCAACUGAAACUGUAAUUGAAUCUAUAUCUCUUGCAUAGUAUAGAAUUGGAGUAAACAAACGACUUCUCUUUGGCUUCUUUUACAUAUUACUUGACUGCGGGAUCUGACCUAACUGCCGAACACAUAAAUUGAGGAUGAAGACAGGAAUUGUAAUAACAGGACUUGUAGGAAGCCCGCCAAGUCAGUACUAGACAAUUGAACUACUUAGACUUGAGACCCGUUUUCUGUAAGGAGGUAGAAUAGUUCCUGUACUAUCCAAUUUAUACAACAGUUGGCUUAUGUGCUAUGUCUAGCGGAUGGUGAAUCCUACGUGCUAUGUCUAGCGGAUGGUGAAUGCUACCUGGAUUUUCUUGCUUCCCUUUCCCUUCAACCAACCACUAUCUGAGUUCCCUAAAUAUAAAUAGAAUAUCUAGAAUCCAGAAGACUGCCCCUUAUCACAGAAGUCGAUAGUCCUUGCUUGUAUCGGUCAUUAUUAUAUGAGAAAAGUAGAUAUAUGAUAACAAAGGAAAAAGAUGAUCAAAUCAAUAAACAAAAACCAGAAGGCCCUAUAUAUUAAUUAAGGCUGUUUAAGGAUGUGUCUAUUUCAUUUCGAUUAUCUGAAAGAAUCCGUUUUUAUAGUCAUAUAGAUUGUAGUGGAUCCAUAAAUAAAAGCUUCCAGAAAGUGCUAUACCUACCCUAUAUUGUUUUAGGUAUUAAACUCGAUCCCUAACUCUCUAGCAGCACAGAUGGGGUCGAUCUCACCCUUGCUUCACCACGCCCGGAGGCUAAGUCUAGUUUCAUAAGGUUAAGAUGGAUACCGCUCAUAAAGAGCUUGUUUAAGUGUCCCGUAUGCCUUGCAAUAAUCCCUUGCCCCUUGAUUUCUACAAUACUUGAUGUGACUUGAAACUUGUGAUACGAGACUGCUUCUCUUGCGCAUCUACAACAAGGUAGAGUUGGGCGCCUGUGUUCGGUCAACAAAUAGUUCAAUUAAUCUAUAUCGCAUAUAGUGAAAGAAUAUAGCUAGAAUAAUAUAGAAUCCAAUAACAACAUUCCUUAUUGCUGACUAAGGAGAAGGACUCCUAGCUUGAAGAACUCAUAUUGGCCCCAACAAGCAACUGUGCUAACGUGAGUGGAGUUAAGAAAGCCUAAGUACGUUAGUUAGGUCGAAGAGAAUGUUUGUUUGCCGUUACUAGUUCCCCUUGCUUCAAGAAUAGAGGAAUCCCUGGAAAGUCUUUGAAUGGAGGAUAGGAUUGAUGUCGUAAAGUCUUUGAAUAGAGGAAAGGAUUGAUGUCGGCACCCCAAGUGUACUACGGCUUGUUGAAUUGAGGAAUAUCAUAGAGUGCACAAACAAAUAGAGGCGCAUAACUGCAUUGCUUUCUUACCGGAUGGAGCAUAACAUAACUGCUUCCUCUAUUCCGCUAAAAGAGCAUAACAUGACUGCUUCCUCUAUUCUGCCUUAGGAAGGCUACCCUAUUUCAUUGAACUGACAACAACAUAUGAGAGAUAACUGAACGGAAUAUGCAUGACAACUAGUGGAAAUGCUCUAAAACUGCUAUUACUACAAAACGGACUAUCCCUGCAGGCUUUGCUUAUAGUGGAAAUGCUCUAAAACUGCUAUUACUACAAAACAGACUAUCCCUGCUUGCUUACCCAUCGGAUUCUGUCACUAAGGCACUCAGGCUUGCAAUCUACCCGCUACCCGCUGCUUUAAUCAUGGAAUCUAUAUCGCAUAUAAUCUAAGGAACCUAAGAACUACUUGCAUAGCUUUAUUGAAAACUCAUGUAAGCACCCGCAUGUUUACAUGUUGAAUGGAAUCUAUCUCGCACAUGAUAGAAGAUGGGUAACCUAACGCAUAACUCCAAACGUUUAAGGCUGUAACUCGUAUUCAAUACUUAGCGCUUCAUAAGGUUGUUUAAGGCUGUAACUCGUAUUUCUGGUCGUUUAAGUUGAACCUCUUAUGAACUCCGCUUAUAGGCUUAUCUAUAUCAUUGAAACUAUGCUUCUCUCCCUCUCAGUCACCGAUGGAAUUUCAAGCACAAUUCUACCGAUUUCAUUUCAAGCACAAUUCGAAUAUCAUUGGGUCUCAUUGAAUCUCACUUGCAUAAAGGAAAAUCACUCGCUUCAUAUAGAUCAAAAGUCACCCUUUUACUGCUGACUCACUUAAGAAAAGAAAGGGGGUGAAGAACUCCUAGCUGACGCCUAAACAAAGGACUUGUCUUUUGCAAAAAAACAGAUAAUGAGAAUUUCCCUUUGCCCUCUUAGUUAUUAGAAUUAUGUCUUUCCUUAGUGCUAUAAGUAGUAGGACAAUUCUGACUCCUUCUUUCUUUGCUCUAUUACUCAUAUACGGACUCUUUCUUCUUUAGCUCUAUUACUCAUACAAUUAUUCUCAUAUGAUAUGCGCCUAUGACUCUUGUAUAAAUUAUGUCUUUCCUAUGCGCUAUUAGUAUUGAUUCGAUUCUGUCUUUUGCAGUAUAGAAUGUACUCGCCUGGAGCUCCCCUAACUUAGCUUAUUAUUCGUUUAGUAUAAACCUUACAAAACUUCUGACUUUCGGAUUGUGAAUUGAGUGGCAAAGUGGAAUUGAGUGCUACAAAAGAAUGGAAUGGAAUAUGACUGACACCAUAUAUCAGAAUAGUAACAAGACAGCUUACUCCUGACUCCAAUAGCAUUAGCAACUUACUCCUGACUCCAAUAGCAUUAGCAAUUAUUAGGGCAUUAAGAAUGGAGUGCCAAAGAGACAUAAGAGAAUGGAGUAACAACACACCUAUACCUAUUAGGCUAUGCUCUAACAACUGACUUUCCUUAUUAUGGAUCUACUGCGUUUUCCUACUUUUUGACACUGUUAGGUUUUAUUACUUGUUGUUUCCUUUCUACUACUUACUGGCUACAGACUUUAUUGGAUUGAGCCUCCGUAUAGAAACCCUAAAUUCCAUACAAUAUAUAUUAUAUCCAUUUUGGAUGAGAGAAAGAGAACGACCAGAACCAGUAAGUCGACAGUCGUUGCUUGGCCCUUGCAUGGACAGCGACCACCUCUUUUCUUUACUUUUUUGAAAAUCUCUUCUCUCUAUAUAAGGGAUGUAUGUAUUCUCGAUAAGAGAGGAGCCGUGGUGGUAUGCAUCUCAGGACCGAGACCGUGCUACUGGACUGUCUUACUGGGUUGGCGACUCUCUGCGCUCCCAAUGACAGUAUUGGAUGAAGCACUGGAAAGAGAAGAGGACAGGGCUACAAUGACGGAUGAUACUGUUCCUUCACCCAGGGAAUGAAUGGGGCUUCGCUCUCUAAAGAUAGAGUUGAGAGUUUUUGCUUCCUGCCUUACUGAUUAAAAGAGACAAGAUCCGAUUCCUUCUGCCUAUUCAUUCACAGCGUAUGAAGUAAUAACAUUGUACAAUUGUAGGAACCUUCCCAGUUUUUGGCUAACCCUCCCUAAAGGCCUGAGCGAAUGCAGAGUAGAAAAGACGCAGGGUUCUACCACUUUGUAAGGUAAGUACUAAGUGAAUAGUUUCGGUCUAUACAGACGGGUCUAUGUGCGAAAAUGGAAUUUCGUCUUUCUAGCGCUAAGCAUAUAAUAUUGAUUGCCUGGGAUAACGAGCAUAAGAGCGUAAGGGCAAUUAUCGUAUCUCGAAAUAGGCUAGUUUGGGGUUUCCCCUUUCUUUGUUAAUCCUUUGUUUCAGAAAGCGCUUGUAUACGGGUAUAGCAGUAAUAGGACUUUAACCCAAUAGGAUAGGGCAAGUUCUUUUAGAAAGCAAGAGGGCGAUACGAGGUCAGAGUUUGAAGUCCAAUUCCCUAAAUAUCAAGUGAUUCAAUAAAAACAAGCACAAGCCUUAUUAACUAACAAAGUGGUAAAGUGUUAGGCAUUUCCAUUUCAGUAAAGCUAGCCAGUCAAAAGGAGUAUUUCAUGAAAGAAAAUGGGCAAGUAAGAGAGGGAUUCUCUACAAAAAGGCUCUAAGAUUGUAGGUCAAACAAAAAGAGGUCAGUCAUAGGGCAAAUGAAAUCUAUCCAGUGAAAACCCAAACCCUAAAAGAAUCUGGUCUAUCCCCGACAAUCCUAGUUCUUCGCCCUGUUAAGCUAUCUCUUGCAGCUACUGUUUCCGUUUCUUUCGAUGGGGACAGUUCCAGGAAAGUAGAAGUUCUGUUCUAAUGCCUUCCAGGAAGAGUGGGGUUUUUCUAGUUCAAGUGUCGUUUUCAAAUAAGUAGCAUAAAAGAGAUCCCUUGACGAAAAGUAAUAAGGGGCCACGGCUAUAUAUACAUAAAGCUUAGGAUAGCGGAUUCUUGGUUCUAGGUCAAUCAAAGGUGUUAGAGCGAGCUAAGGUCUUCUCCUCCAAUCGAAGUAAUAAAGCCAGUUCCUUGUCAAGUCAGUUAAAGAAGUGAAAUCCAUCCGACUUGAAAGUCAUGGUAUAAAGGUUAAGGGCUGCAAGCGGGUCUUCAAGAAUAGGUAGGGUUUACAGUGGGUAAGUCGGUUCUUCAAGUGUAGUUUAGUUUGGCCCUUAUAGUCCGUUUGGUUUACUUGAAGUUUCAUCUGUCUUUGUUGCUCGUGUCUAAGUAAUAAAUCUCUGUUCGACUUGACUCCCAUGUAUAAGCAGAAGAUCAUCUCGAAUCGAAUGCUGAGGUAAAGUCUCCUGGAAUAGAAUACAGAUCAGAAGCUGGGUCAAUAGCUGGAUAUUUCUCUUCAACAGGAUAUUUCUCUUCAACAGGAUCUGAUGCCGAAGCCAAAUCGAUAGAUUCCAUUACAGUUUCGCUUGGUUGAUGCAAGAAAGAUUACUGUUUGCCAGAGCAAGAACGAACAAGAACAAGAUCUACAGUAGGAACAGGAUAUGAAGCUAGAUUAGAUGCGGGAUCUUAAGCCGGAACAGUCCAUUCUUAUGCUGACCUGACCUAUCCUACUGUCCAACUAAUGAAUUGACGCCUAUAAUCUGUGCUUUCUGGUUCCCUUGCUUGCUCUCUACCACUUAAAUAGAAGCCUUACUCCUGACUUGACUCACCCCUAGCCUAGUUAGAAUAGAAGAUUGAUGUCGGCACCCGCAUAACUCCCGAAGGCUUAAGAUUUGAGUCUAGUGGAUCUGCAUUCCGUCAAAGAAUUCACAGACGCCCAAUUACUUAAGGGCACCGAUGAAGACCCGGAGACUGACUUGCGGAAUUCUUAUCCUCUGUUUUAUACCUUACCUUCUGUAGAUAUAGUAGUUCCCCUUCCCUUCUUAUUAGGGCACCCAGGAAACCCGGAAAAGACCUAUACUGAAUGGAACUGGCACCAAUGCAAUAUAUCUAAUGGGUUCGGGACCUGUCAUUAUCUGUAUUUAUUGUAGAAUUCUUAUACUAUAUUCAUUCUCUUAGGAAUGACUUACUAAUUCUUUUAAAUAAGAAGAGAGUUGACUUGCCGUGUCUUCUGUCUUAUUCCUAUCCGGAGUAUGCCCUUAACCCAGCUUCCUCACCCGAUCUUGCUUCUAUUCCUGCCUCCGAUCCCAUGAACACAGGACUAGUUGAACUCAGGCUAAUCUACCUAUGGCUACUGGCAACAAUGCAUUUCAACCUGCUGUCCGAUCCUAUAACUUCAUUAAGAUUGGCUGUGGAAUCAGUCAUCCUAUAUAAUAACAGAGAUUUUGAUAGUGCUUUUUUGCUACUUAACUAGUACUGAGUUAGUAUAGGCAAAAUGCAAGAACAACUAGCGGCCCUGCCGCGUCAGCGAGCGCAUAACUCGGAGCUCCUCCGCGACACCGAACACAUCUGGAGUAAUAACAACAAAUAAAUAUACCUGAUGUUGUUUCUUAUUGCCAAAACAACUGCCGCGUCUUUAGCUCGCUGACGCGACAGCGGACUAUUAACUGACGCGUAACAUUAGUAGUUACUUGUCCCGUAACAACUGGCGCACAACUACUCCUAAUGUCGUAGUUGCUUGCCGUCUUGUCUAGUAGUUCCUUGGCCCGAGUUCCUUGGCCCAAGCCAAGGUCAGAAACAGAAGCCUACCCGACCCGACCUAUCUUUAUUACACUCCUCAACCCGCUUCUAAGCCAACAAAUACUGAUGAAACCAGACCACUACUUGAGGACGAAGCAACUUAUUGCUACGAAUACUGAAUUGAUCCAUCUUGCCUAGCACAACUUACUAGAAGGGCUUCUAAUAAGCAAAGCACCCGACCCUACCUCUCUUUAUGACACUUGCCUCUCCUCUUUCUCAUCUCUUAUAUAAGAUAAGACUUAUGGCUCAUCUCCACUAGCAGCUGGCAACCAUCCUAUGCCAACUAUUGGAAUUCUCCUCUUUCUUGCCGAAAGAGACUCAAGCUUACCUCGAACAGGACUACCAGGGGCGGACAACUACCUUAUCUUUAGGAGCAAAGGAAUACAGAAACAGACAAAGUAGAAGAACAGAACCCAGAUUGAGAGAGAGAAGCAAAAGUCAUUAAAGGAAGAAAACCCGCAACAGGCAACUCGUAUAACUCUCAAGAACACAGGACAGGCAAGAUAGGGGCAUGGAUCUAUUUCAGCACUUAUUGAGUUUGAUGGGCAAAUCAUAAGAAGUGUCGUUAGAGUUCAUUGACGCCUAUAAGAUUGAUGGUUCAGUGACUUAACUCAUUAGUAUAGGAGUUUUCUCAGUGGAAAAGUAUUGUUUCGGUUGCAAGUACUUUUCUUGUAAGUAGUGAGGCAAAGCUACUACUGGAGCAAGAGCAAGAAAUCAGAAUGGAUGGAAUUAGCGGCCCUUAUAUUAAGUCGGUAUCGGAUAUCAGAGUUUAGGUAAGUCCAGUAGUAGAGUUGUUUCAUCAGUAUGAGUUGACUCCGGUAGAGGAGAAAGAGUUAUGGUAUUGUUUCCAGAGUUAUAGAAUCAGAAUUAAGGUAUAGUUGGCAUAGGUAGAUGAGAUGCUCUAGUCCAGAGGCUUUGAAGCAGAGCCAGAGAAGAGCCAGCAGCUUGUUGAAAUCAGUAUUAGUUGAGAGAUAUUCCAUUCCCUGACCUGUUGGACUACUGUACUACUACAGGUUGGUGCUGUAAACGGGCUGUAAACCGGGCUGUAAACCAGAGUAUAGGUUUAGAGGAUUUACUAUAGUAUUGGUACAGGAGUGAAGGAGGUAUGUUAACUGCUUACAUUAAACCCCUAUGGCUCAUGAUUCUCUUUAGUGAAUUCCUCCUGACUGAGAGGGGACAUCUGAGUUGACAUUGAAGAGGAGAGUUCGGAUAGCCCUUACUGUUAAGAGUUUAGUUAGGAAGUAAAGCAUUCAGGUCAAUUCUGAUAGGGUUUCUUACUAGGUUAUACUACAGUAGUUGCUUGUUUUAGCCUAGGAGAUACCUUUUCAUCUUUAAUAACUGAAUGAGGCUAAUCUACUUAUGCUCUGAACCAACCUAGCUAGGGCUAUGAAAACUCAGAAUUCCACACUACGAGUUUCCUUACUACUUGUCUGCUUGGCCCUUAAUCAAGUUAUAUAGAUUUGAUUAUACUUUGUCUGUAGAGCGUCAGUAUUGGGGAAAGAUCAGUCAAAACAUUAGCGGCCCUUUAGUGACACCUGUGUUCGCCUCCUCGGCUAAUUCUCUAGUUUUGUCAAUCAACUGCCCUUUCUUCUCCAGUAAUUAGUUAACCUUACCUUCCCGAAACACCUCUACUUUGGCACCAUGUAUAGAAGUGAGUUACCCAACUGCUUUAUAUCUCACUUAUGUUUCUUAUCCUGUACCCGCUCCCCUAGUUCUAAUGUAUCUAAUGCGCUAGAUCUCUUACCUGCUUAAGUGGUUUUCUACCUUACUACUAAGCUUGUCGUCUUGUCUUCUUGUCGUCUUGUCUAUCUGUUGCUUAGCCCCGAGUUUCAUCGUAUCUAUAGGCAGUAUCAAGUAGGGAAGCAGUUUAGUAAGAAGUAGAGGCCAGGCCAAAUGAGAUGGUAUUUCCUUAGAAGAGGGAGAGAUCUAGUCCUGAUUAGUUUACAGUUGCCCUGGUUGAAUCCGUAUUUAUUGCCAUAGGAGAGGCCGGGGCAGUAGAAAAAGAAGAAACAGUAGACUUGGAUCUUAAAGCUAACUAUCCCUUUGAAACACUCCCAAUCAAUCAGCGAGUAGGAGAAUCAACCAUAUACUUAUUCAAGAAGGAAAUCAAGUGUAGUAGUUUGAGAAGCAAAAGAGAAGGAUAAGGAUUAAGAAAAAGAAAAGAAGUUGUUUCAAGAGCAGUUGAGGAAGAAAGAAGUUGUUUCAAGAGCAGUUGAGGAAGAAAGACCAUAAGCCGGGGAAGACCUUCCGAUAAGAAUAGAGUCCCCCGGUAUUCUAUAUUCGUUGCUUACGUAGCUAGGCUUGGCCCUUUUUCAUGGCUGAUUCUCGAGUAAAUGACUUUAUGCUUCUAUUCCCACUCGUACAUUUAUAGCCCGGUCAACUCUAUCUGCCUUGAUAGUAGUAGUCGCUUGCCUGGUGAAAUGAACUGAUUGAUUGUAUUUACUUAUCCAAAAUCUAUAUUACCAAGUCCAGAACAAGUAUGCUUCCAAUGUUACUAAAAUGCAGAUGUUACUGAAGAAGUAGCCCUUAAGUAAUUGGGAAAGUGUUUCGGAAGGGACUCUCUAUCUGGUGUUCUUGUUGAGGGUGCAAGGAAAGCAGUCCGCUGUGGGAGUUUCAUCCAAAGAACCACUUUCAUUCUCUCUAAUAUAAGCUUAUAUAAUAGACUAGACUUUUGUACACCUCGCCUCUACGCGCAUUCAAAGAAAUAGUAGAAGAUAGAAUACUUGGAAUCCACUGCUGCUAUAGUUGUCGAUGAGUCUACUUAUGGUCCAGGAAACCAACCCGUAGUACUGUUAUGGUUCUUGAGUCCUGUGCCCUUAAUUACUGCUCACUCUCCACUCCAUUCUUGAUUUCAAUACCACCGGGUAGUCAACGCUUAGCUACCGCCGCAACAAGUAAAUCUUUGACUCCGCGCCUUAGCAACUAGGCAAUCUGCCCUGCCCCAACUCACAUUUAAGUGAAAAGAGAAACCCGAAUAAAGCACUUGGAUCUCUUCCUAGUUCAACUAACCAACCCUCGCAACUUCACUUGAACUGUCAACCUGAACCUACCUCUAUGUAGUCAACAGCAAAGAAUUCAUUACUUUACUAGUGCAUUGACGCCUACUAAUUGAAUUACCUGGAAACAGUGACCAAUUCGAAUCUCCCUCUAGAAUAAGUUUAGUAAAACUCUGAUCCUUAAAGCUCUGAUCCUUAAGUAGUAGUCCAGGCAACUACUGUAUUAGUAGCGAGUAGCGAGUUAAAGAAGCAGUAGCUCCACUCUUGUUAGUAGUGAUUUUUAUCUGAUCAGAGUAGAAGACCAGUACUGUAUUUGUAUGAUAAGUAUGAAUUCAAGUAGUACCCGUACCCUUUAGUGGAAUGAUUUGAGUUCUUCACCGACAACACUAGCACUUAAGUCAGGGUCUGUCCUGUAUGAAGUAAAGUAAACAAACCCUUGCUUGGCGGUUAUCCAUUGCAUCUACCUCUGGCAACUGUCAACACCUCUUUCUUCUUAACCUGUCCUGUAGACUAAACUAUCACUGCUGUUUCCUCUCGCACUCCUUCUUCUACUUCUUCUAUAGUUGACUUUCUUCGCACAGCUAAAUCUUUUGUAUAGUUGACUUUAUUGACCACCCCAGACAGGUUCUCAAUAGUCUAGGCACCAUCCCUUGUUGCAAGAUGAGAGAGAGAUUAUAGUCCUGCUCUUUUUUGCCCUUAAGUCAAUUGCUGUAAGUACGGAGUUUAUCCUAUUGGGGCUGUGGUUUCAUACGGAGUUUAUCCUAUUGGGCGUGGAUGUCUAGUAUGGAUAGGGUUGUGGAAUAAAAGGAGAGGCGAGGCCGGGGCAGAAGAAAUUAAGGACCGAAGAUAGCUUGCUCUGCUCCUCUUUUAGUCUCUAUAAGAUAGCUUGCUCUGCUCCUCUUUUAGUCCAUAUAUCUCAUUUGUUACUUCCCCUUGCUCUUCUUACAGUCCAUAGAAUUGGGCUUUCAGCACCUUGCCCUUGCUCCUCUUUGAGUUCAUAUAAUAGGUUACUGACCCUUGCUUUAAGAAUGGAGGCAGAUGGAUCCUCUACGAUGGCACCAUGAUCUUAGUUGUUACUUCUUAUCUCUCUUUCUACACAGUCCAUAUAAAGGCUUUCAGCGCCUUACGACGCUUUCUCUUCUUACAGUCCAUAUAAGAGGCUUUCAGCACCUUGCUCCUCUUUUAGUCCAUAUAUCCAAAGUGACUUACCCGGACUUAGCUUAUAGUCUCUAUCUAAUUUGUUACUAACCCUUACUGGUGCUGAUGGGAAAUCUAUCAAGGAAUGAAAGGGCAAAAAGUGGGAGAAUCUUGGAUCUUGGAGAACUAUGAGUGGAAAGAGAACUAGCUCGAUCCGGAACUUCUUCUUAUUAUAUAUCCAAAGUAGGGUACGCUCUUAAUAAGAUUCGGGAAAGCCUUAGCCUUGGACUCUAUCCUCUUGAUAAGCCUUAUUGUCCUUAACUAUGCUCUUCGAGACGAGACCGUAGAUUACUUUCCGGAGAAGAGUUUGAACACUUUGCCUUCCUCCCCUAACUAUGUGAAUCCAGGUGUAUGAUUAAUGGAAAGACCUUGGAUUCUCUAGGGUAACCAUCAUGAAAGAAGGCAUUCUAAGACGUUGAUAUAGAGUUGAGGCUAUCUUUUCUUGGCUGCAAUGGAAAGGAGAAGUCGAACCAACCUCUGGAAUCUUUCCGGACCUUCCUUAUAGUCAUUUGUAAUAUAGUAAUUAGUAAUUCGCUAACUCACACAACUGUGAAACUCCAUUAAGCGUUAACCCCGAACUCAAUGGCACCCACUCCUAAUAAAGUAAAGAUGUUUAUUACCUUGCGUAGCUUGCAAGAAUGAAGUACUCUUGUCUAUGGUUCGAGUCACUGAGCUAGUAGAAGCUUAGAGAAAACGGUGCUUUACUUCAAUUCUAUUCCUGAGAGUCAUAAGGAAGGGGUCUGGGUGUUAGAGAUGCAAAAGUCAGUAAAGUCUCCUUAUUGAGUUUUGUCCUAGGUCUGACUUCUUUGCCCAUCUUUCCAGGAAAAUGAACCCUAGCUGCCCAAAUAUGUAUUUCACCUUUCAUUCGUUAGCUCCACUCUAGGGCUUUUACUCGGAACUGAUCAGAAGGAGCUACUUAGGGAAUCGAGCUCAGCAGUAACUGAGGGGGGAACACAUGAAUAAGGCUACUUAUCUGCAAUAGCGCAUAUAGGAAUCAAAUCAAUAAGUAAGGAUGCCUGCCCACACUACUAUACCAAUAGAGCCCGUAUAAGACCAAAACACUACAAUAAAGAGUUGAACUAGCAGCUAUCAGAUUGAACUACUACCUUCUCAUAAUGAAAACAGAGCUACUAAAGAACUCGACUCGGAACAGGUGCGCCGGAUGCUUCUAUGGCUUCAACAAGCAACGUAGAAUUAAACCCCUACUUUACAACUAGGAAUCCCAGAGGUAAAGGCAGACUUGAACCGGAAACUAGGACUCGGCAUCAAACGGCAUAAAACAUAGGACUCGACAUAAAGAACCAAACUCGGAACUAGUAAUUGAACUACUUACUUCUAAAUAAGGCUUUUACUCGCUACUGAUCAGAAAGAGCUACAGUCCACAUACCCAUUGUUAGCAUUCGUACACAAUUCUGAGUAUCUUGACUUUCUUUAUUGGUGGAAUUCUUUAUUCUGAUAUUCUUGAUUUCUGGUUUUGAUCAUUGAUUGUUUUUUCUUCCAAUAUUGGUGUCUUGGCUGUUCUUUUCUCAUUUCUUGGAUUACAAUACCCUAGCCCGACCCUAACAGAUAGAUCGUAGUGAUGCGGUCACCACCCAUACAAGUAAGUAAACUAGCCCGACCCUAACAGGAUGGUACUCUCUUUUGACUACCUAAGUAAGUAAACUAAGUAAGUCAACCACCCGACCUAGUAAAGGAAUUCCACUCGUCAACUACUGGCAAAGAAUUCCACUAUCAACUCAGAGCCAAGCGUAUACUACAACUACUACUAUACAAGUUUCACUCCUUACUCAGGUACGGGCUUUCUCUCUAGCUUUCUCUCUUUUCCUUAUAUAUGAGAUUGUUAACGCUUCAUUCUUUAUAUGAUAAUUGCUUAAGGCUUAAUGUUACUAUUGCCUUAGGAUUCUGCUUCCUCUUAUGGGCCUGUUGCCUUCUCUGCUCUUAUUUUAUUCCCAAUUUGUUCCUACUCCGGAUAUGGAAAAAGCUUCUUUUCUCUCUAUUUACUACUUGCUUAACACUAGGGUUAUCAAACUCCCUUAGCGCAGAAGCGUGAAUCAACGACAAGCAACCUCUAGCCUACCCAUAGUGCUCUCAACUCUCAAGUUCUAAUUUCACUAACAGGUUACCUCGACUCUGGCUCUUUUCACUCAGCUGACAUACCACACUGGUGCAGUGCAGAUCCUUUGACAACAACUAUCACAAGAACAGGACUACCGGGAUGAAGACUAGAACUUAACUCGGACAGGAUCGGUAUGCUACUAUAACUCCCGUCUCAUCUACCGGGGAGUCAACUAAUACAGAUUCAAGCAGUCCCUUUCCUAUCCGUUCACCUAUAUAAGAACAGAUAGAAUUAUCUACUAUUUUUCCCUACGCCAAGACACUACUAAUGUGGCGCGGCAGCCGCCAAGCAACUACUAACGACCAAGCAACGGCGCGCCAAGUAACUACUAAUGUUACGCGGCAGCAAAUGACAGUCAUAACGGCCAAGCAACGGCGCAAGACGUUGUACGGCAGGAGCUAUAGCUAAGUUCUGUCUUCGUAGAUGCUCUCGGCGGUAGCAACAGGCAAGCAACUACUAACGACCGCCAAGACACUACUAACGUGGCGCGGCAGUGAGUUUUAGGCGGCGCAAGACGUUGGGCGGUAGCCAAGGUAAUAGAUAUGACAAGUUAUUACAAUAGAUGUUUUUGGGGCCGCUUCCUAUAAUUCCUCUUCGAGUUAUAACAAUAGAUGUUUUUGGGGCCGCUCCACUCUUUUUAUUACAAUCUAUGUUUAAACCCUACUGUGUCCAUACUGAGUGAGUAUAUGAGAAAUAUGAGUCGUUUUUCUACAGAAUGAAGUGAUUAUGCAAAUGUUAAGUCAACUCACAACUCCUGGGCUAUCCGAACUCGCCUCAAAGCCGAUACUUUCUUCUUUUCUUUAUAAUAGAAUAUAAUAAGUGGACGAAUCCAGCUAAUGAUUCUUUUCUUUCUUUCCCUUUUGAAAGUCAAGUGAACUUUCCUCGCCCAGCUUCCUUACCUGCUUCCUUAAUAGAUGAAACAAUAGAUUGCACUCGCCAAGCAACGUAGACAAAGGCACAGCUAUGGACCAACUUCUUCCUCAGUAGUUAGAAAUACUAAUUAAUAGAGACCUAUUGCACUCCCUUACCGCUUUUCAAUUGAAUUAAAGAAUAGAGUUCAACUUGGCAGGGUAGAAACAUCAGAAUGAUCCAGGCCCGGUAUAAAGCAGUAUAAAGCAAGAUCAUAGUCAAGUAAGAAUUCAAUUCGACUUGAUCCAAUAGAGUCAGAACACCUUGUCAUAGAGAGCUAAGCCUCUUAUUCUCUAACUGCUGUUCAUUCUAUUCCUGCGAGUAGUGAGCGAAAGGGGUUUACAGCUUUGUUUCCAGCCUCAACAAGUAGUAGUCGGCGUAAGGGACAGGAUCAGUUCUCUGGAAUCAGUUAUCUAUCUGUUAUAAGAAAGAAUGAAAGUGGGAAUGUUUUAAACACCAAUCAACCACUUCGGACAGGACAGGUUUUGACUGUUUCUCUACCUCGGACAGGACAGGCGAAUACAGGUUACAAACACAGGACUUUGGUAAGAAACUAAAGAAUUCGCUCUAUCUCCAACUACAGGCUAGGCUCUGUCAACUAAUUCCAGCCACGCUAAAGCAUCAUCUGCACCCGACCUCGACUCUAGCUUACAAAUCAAGUUAUUGCUCUCAUCGCAUCUACCGGAGUCAACAAAAACGGAUUCUAUAGGACUUACUACAACUGGGCUGCUACUACUAGCAACCCGACUGACUACUUAAAGAAUCAACCCAGCUUCUUUUCUUUAAGAUAACGAUAGGGCUUGGCUUGGUAAUACUUAACGCUUCCUUCAGUGGACAAAGGAUUCUUCGAUUGUAAACUCUUAACGCUACGCUUGAAUUCAAUUGAAAUUGAAACACCGUAAGCAUAGUGGUGAGUAAAGUCAACUAAUACUAUAUUUCCAUCUUUCUACUCUCUUGCCCCGAGGAGAACAGUCAUUGAAUAUCUAUCUUUUGCAUAUAUACCAUGAGAAUGUCAUCAAGCAGAAACUCAGUUAGCGGCUCACUUACCCUCAUGCGCAGAAAGAAAUAGAACAGAAACUCCAUAUCUUAGGAAUGCACCUUAACCUUUAGAGGAUUGAUCCGGGCUAAGGGAGUUUAGAGUGUCAAUUCCUGGAGGUGACAUGUAAGAUUCCACAUAAGAUGAGUUUCCCGCGACUAGAGCCGAGUUUAGAUACCACAGCACAGGACUUACGGGGUAGGGCCAGGAAUAGAUUCGAGUGCAAAGAGAGGACUUGAUUGAACUGAUGCCACUUCACUGUAAACAAAGAAUGAAUUGGAAUCUGUCACUGCAUGCUAUCAAAAUCGGAAUGGAAGAUAGACCCUUCCAAAUGUGAUUGUGUUGAGCCCGCCUAUCAAUCCGUUGUUCAAGCCUUAACCGAGUAGAAAAGCGAAUCUGUCUUUGGCGCAAGAACAAGUGCCAAUGAAAUAAGUCCCCCAGAGGCCCUUUUUAAGGAGUUUAGUUCAGUUCGCCAAUUGUUCGUUCAAGUCUUGUAUCGAAAAUAUUGUCAUUAGAGAAUUAGAGGAAGAAAGAGUAGCAAUUCCUAUUAGAUAUGGCACAUCGGUAACAGUACACAAUUCCACUUCAACAGGGCGCUCAAAAGAAAAGAUUAAUCGAAGGCCGGCACAAGAUUCCUGUCCGACAAGCAACAGAGUUAGGCCAAGCAACUCACACUUUCUUUAUUACUUGCUAUGUGCUAGGGAGAAAGAGUUCAAAGAGCAUUAAGUUGAAGGCGGUGCCCUUACCGAGUCCUGUCUUUAGCUUACGUAAGAGUGAGUUUCAAGUCCUGUGUUUACCUGUCUUUCGGGAGUACUUUAUUAAGGGUUAGCAAGAAGGAGGUCAAUCUUUCUAGACAAAAAGCACUAUAGGGACAUUUCCGGAGGCUUAAUGGUCUAUUUCCCAUCAAACUAUUAGAAACCUUAGAAACAAGGCCAAUACAGCAAGCAGCUACUAGGCUUCUUAACCGACGCUCCCUUGCCUAUACAGCAUUUCUUUGAUUUAUUAUUUCUUUUCUUUAAGUGAAACCUUAGGGAUGGAUCCAGUGGGCCAUAAUACAUAGGCUUCCGCAUUCCCUUACUUAAUAGCAAUUGAGAUAGCAAUGAAUACUAUAGCCAUUAAUACUAUGUGCAAUUAGGUAUGAUCUAGUGCAUUAGGUACAUAGAAUGAUAUGUCUUUACUCGAUUCUAUUAGAGUGGAAGUUAGCUAACAAUAAGAAUGAAUACACGGGCCCUAAUACGUAAUAGCUAGCGCAUUCUAAGAUAUAGUAAGAGUGACUUAAAACAUAUGUAUUUUCUUGUAUAGUUACAAGAGGAGAGGAAAGAAAGAAUGGAGGAAAGAAACACAGAAUUCCAGUGCUCUUCGAAAGAAAGAAAUACAGAAAGAAGGAAAUAAAGAGAUGUUGCUAAGGUUGCUAGCUCGAAGUCCGCUACUGAAUGAAAGAAUUCCACUAGCCCAGCAGACUCCUACGGAAGGUAUCAAACGGUAGUGGAUAACUGUGCCUCUUGCCUAUGUCCUCCGCGGUAACUAUAUAAAUGACUAUUCAUUACUCAACAAAGCAAGAUCGGGUGAUGAAGCCACAGAAUACAGAUCUUUACCCGAACCGAGUAGUUAAUGGCUUAACCGAGUCGCGGGAAUCUCUUAGGGGCCACCCUAUAGUCUAGUGCUCUGAACCAACCCAGUACUCUUUCUUAACCACUUUCAUUCUAUCUUAGAACUGGAACAGAACCACUUGGUUCGGACCUCUAUCUCUUGCAAAUCAAUACUCCAUUCCUGACACUCAAUACUCAAUUCCUGGCACUGCUUCUAAAUAGGAUGAUCCUAGAACUUGACCUUGAACUUCACCUUUCCACUGUGGAGCUGGCUCUCUCUAGAUUAGACACUUGUCCCCCGACUAGGUAUGAUAGAAGGCUAUCCCUUAUUCAUAAGAACUACAGCCUAUGCGUUAGUGAGUUAAGCGAGUGAGAGGGGUGUCUGAUCUCGUUAGCCAUAGAAUGCCCUGUUCCAGUGAAGGGCCAAGCUAAUACUGGUAUCAAGAUCAACCAACUACUGGCAAGGAAGCACUAACAGAGUCAAAAGAGCAUAAGUGGAAGUCGAGUGUGAGUUUAAGACCGGUCCCUUAGUUACUGGUAUUGAGUUUCAUUCUUUCACUACUGGAUCGGUAGGCUUACUGUGUCUGAUGCUUGACUGUUUGAUUCUUUGACUAGCUUCUUCAAUUCUGAAAUUCCCCACUUGCCGACGACGUUCCAUUCCUUUAUUGACUAGCUGCCCCCUGGCUCUUAUUCUUUGACUCCCCGGCUCCCGAACACAUAGUCAGUGGGCUAGCGUAUACUAGAUGCGGGCCAAGUCGACAACUAAGUUGAUUCUGUGACUCCUUAGCUCCCUAGUAAUGAACUCCUCUGGCUCAUAUACCUUAAUUCUGAUCCUCCGUUUUCUCUUCUCUUCUCUUCUUGCCCAACUCGUAUACUAGGAGAUACAGCAUCAACACCCUAAACCAGACUUUCAAACUACACUCCCCUUUCCUUACUUUUCAUCUACAGCUGGAUCUGCUCGUAACAAACCCAACUCGAGAGCUAAACAAAGUCAGUAUAUUCUAUCAUACCAGGCUAGUUUCUUAGUUUCAAUGAGAGAAAAGGAUAAGAAUGAAUUUCUACCGGACAGCUUAGUCGGAUAAAGAGCCAAGCGUAUACUACUUGCACCCUUUACUCCAGUCAAACUCUGAUCUUCAACUUCGAACCAACCGGCGGGCUAUUAGGUUUUAGUAUGAAUUCCACUCUAAAGUAGGCAAGCAGACAACUAGCAACUCUCAACUCUACUUUCUACUUUCCCUCGACCUGGAAAUCUAUCUACUUUCGGGAUGAAACUAGGGAUAAAACAAAUAAGCUAAUCCUGAUCUAGCUUCUGCUGACUUGAGAACUGCUUCCCCGGCUUCCUCUAUUUAUUCGAAAGAAUGCAUUUUACUGUAAUCUUAUCUUAUCGACUUUCCUUGCACUGAGGAAUAGUCUCCAUUCUUAGCUAACAGUGAAUGUAGUUAACAGACUUUAUAAUGAGUUAUUCCAGAGUCCUUAUUAGAGUUAUUCCAAAGAGUCCUUAUUAAUAGUGGCAGCCAAGUGUCUCCUGUGACUUCUUAGCCUUACAAAGGAAUGUUUUGAACUGCUCCCCGGUAGACAGGACUACUACUUAUGGUUAUCGUACACUAGCCUCGCCUCUUGCUCUUGAAACUAACCACUCCUUAAAUGAAGUAUGUAGUUGGAUACCUUCCUGCUCCUGUUAUGAGGAAGUCCUGUAUCUAGAAGUCUUCACCCUUCACGGAUAGGUCGGGGCAGAAGCAUAAGAUAGUAUAGGCUUAGUUGGUAGGUCAGGGCUAAGAUCAGUAUGACUCUUCUCUUCUCAGGGCUAAAGAAGGGGAGCUCCUCUUCAGAUGGAGAAGAUGUUGUGAGAGUUUCGGUUGCUUCUAAUUAUUGGAAUUGCCUGUUGGAGAGGGUUAAGGUGAAACAACAUAUUUCUUUACAAAGAGAUCCAUACUGGUUGGUGGUUUAUAAGACGAGAAUUGCCUUAUUGUGGCGAUGUCGCUCGUAGCUCCCAGUAGUCAAGUUUCGUUCAGAGCUCCCCCCAAAAGGAGUUGUGACACCUAGGACACCAGGAAGAUUAGUGAAGUUUUCAGCGUCAGUGUCAGCGUAAGGCAGAGUUUACAGUGUUGACGAUGAGAGAGGAGUUUUCACCAGAAGAUAAGGAUCACCCUAUGGGCUAGGAAAGUAUGAAGGUGUUCGCGCAAGGUAAGGAAACAAACUGAAAGAAACAAGCAAGGCGCUAACACUCAAACUGAAUAGAAUUACAGCUGACAAGCGCCUUAAUCGAUUAACGGAUUCUUCUCGGCUUCUAUAUAUGCUCAUGCUCUUUGCCCUUACUUUAUACUUUACCUCAGCAUGAGAUUAGCAUUCCGCUUAUGGAACAAGACUGGAAAGAACCAAUUGUUAUACUUGCUGCUGAUUCAUUAUCUGGUCUCGACUUGAAUUGAAUUGCAUUGCUUAUACUUCGGAUUACUUUAGCACCCAACCCGAAAGAGCGUCUGCAUCUGCACUAUAGGGCUAAUCGGGAAAACACAGAUAAAGUCAUUAGUUUGCCCGCUGAAGAUCGAGUAGGAAGAGAGAAGAAAGACGAGAAGUAAUAAGUGAAGUAAACAAGCAAGAGAAUCAAAAGAAUCAUUAUUCUAGCGAGGUACUGUACAACAGGCGGACUAUCUGCACCGGCUAACUCAACUCUACUUGAAACAACUGGAGACUUUCGAAGAACUGAGGAUUCCGUUGAUACAACUUCAUCGGGAGCAUCUUAUCCUGCGGAUGAUCUUGUUCCUACUUAAGAUCCUUCUUAGGAAGACUGACUUUCAACAACACCUUUCCUGACCGCGGAGCUUGAUGGUUCAUCUGCUGCGUCUUACGCUUAAGCGCUAAGAUCUGAUUCUGGGUGACUCGGUGCAAGUAAGGUAGUAUCAAGAAAAGAAUCGAACUAUCCCUAUAUUCUGAAAGCAAAAGUCCUAAGGUUAAUUACCAAGUAAGGUAUUCGGGUGUUCGUGGCGCAACUAAACGAAAAAUAUAAGUUAAGCGCGUUAGCGAGUUCUGCCCACUACACGGUGGAAAGUAGGAGUGAGCUCAAAAGGAGACUAUACUACCAUAGCCUCUUGCUACUAUACCUCUUAUCCUAUACCUAGGAGUCCAGUCCCAACAGAAGCUCCACAGUAGAAAGGUUAAGUUAAAGGAAAGUAUCCAAGAGAAGAAAGAGAAGAGUUAUUGUUUUCAGAGCCAUAGCUCCGGUAGAAGAGCAAGAAAGCAGAUAACUUGAUUAGUUGGAUAGAGGAGAGCCAGUAGUUGUAGAGAGGAGAGUUUAGAGUGGAAAGAGAACCAGUUGACCGGGCAUGGCAGUAGGAAGUGUACGAGUUGGCCUUGCAUCGUUGCUUGGUCUGUAGUAGGAGCUUAUUAGUUCCUUGGCGGAUAGCAAAUAGAGACUUCAAGUUGAGAGGUCGGUUCGGGUGCUAGGAAAGCUGUCUGCAGGGAGAGUUUCAUCCCGAGUUUAGUCUUCCAGGGCAGUUAAGUAAGGAAAGGAAUAGGAUGGAUUAGAAUCAUAAUUAGAAGAAAAGAACUGUUAGCUGAUAAAGACAGGUUCACUCAGGACAGGGUCGGUCGAGUGCUUGUGUAAGGAUUCUGUGGCAUUAGAGAUAGAGAUUGGUAACCAACCUGGAGUGAAAGGCUUAACCGAAGAGGUCGGCUCGGGAAGCUAUGAAAGGAGUUGGCUAAAGUCUAGUCCAAGUAGUGCUGUUAAGGAGGGUCGGCGUAUAGUAGAGAAUUGCAUGCUCCUGUCGAGAUCUAUCCCUAUUCUUCUAUUGUCGAGAUCUACCCCUAUUCCUCUAUUAAUUACUUCAAGAUCCAUCCCUAUUCUUCUAUUAAUUACUAUAUAUGCUAGUUGGGUUAAUCUAUAUAUGCUAGUUGGGUGAAUAGCAGCAAUAGAUGUGGGUGCCUAGCCUUUUAGGGGGUAGUGGACAGUGAAAGAAGCUAGAUCAGGAGAAUCACCUGUGAAAGUUUCCCCUGCAGAGUAGCGGUAAGUGUGAUAAGAAUUAGAAUGAAUAGGGGAAUAGUGGUAAGUGAGUUCCUGUGUUCGCCACCUAUUCCCAGCAAAGCGGGUACUAGUAAAGAAUGGAGCUAAGUAGACUCAGACUUAUGCUAGUGCCACUGAUUCCCUGCGGCUAGAGUAUGGACUCGGAAUAGAACUAAGUAGCCAAACUCAGUAGCCAGGAGAGGAGAAAGAGUUCAAAGAGGAAGUAGAGUUCCCAUAGAAGAAGGAAGAUCAGAGGCAAGGUCAGCUGUGGAAUCUGUAUUUGUAGCCUGAGCAUUCCUAUGAUUUUAAGUGAAUCAGUAUCCGAUCCAGCUGUUGGAGAUGGAGCUAUUGAUUCUUUUUCUUAAACUAGUAUACGAGUAGUUCAGUUUCAUUCAGUAUUAGUAGUGGUAGAGAGGUCGGGUACUUGGUUGGAAAGAAAGAAAGUAGUACAGUAGUAAGCCCCUAUUAUUAAGUCUUACCCGCACUGAUUCCCCAUAUAUAGUACUUGUUUCAUUCACCAAGCAACAUAGUAAGUUGCGCGGUAGCGAGCUUUUACUGAGUGGAAUUCUUAGCUAACUUACCACAAUUCUUAUUGUCUGCCGAUGCAAAUAGUUAAGUGGCACAGGACGUAGUUCUGUUAUCUUAUCCUCCUUUACAUCUCUCUUGACCAUCUUUCUGAACUCUGGAAACUCCUCUUUCUCCUUUUCUAUAUUAAGUAAUAGAACUAUGAGUUUCUCCUUUUCUAUCCUAAGUAAGAGAACUAUGAGUUGGAAUUGAAGAAUGGAACUAAGGAGUUACAGGCUUAACUGAACCCCUACUUCAGACUGAAACAAGUGAGUCCAAGGCUUAAAGCCGGUAGUCAAAGAACCCAAUCAGGGAGUGAUAGGCUUCAACCGGUACUAACAAGACUGAUACCGACACCGAGCAGACCUCAACCAGUGCAUCUAAGGCUUAAACGAGGUAGUGGCAAGCUAUCCGACCCGAGUGACAGACUGAACCAAGGGAUCGGCAGGCUGGUGUUUAGCAUAGUAAGACUCCAACCAGUGCAUCUUAGGCUAUAACCACUGCAGCUAAGGCUUCAACGAGGUAGCUCGGGUCUCUAACAAGUAACUACAGGACUGAUACUUAGCAUAGGCAGACUGAAAGCAGUGAAUCCGAGACUUAAAGCAGUGCUUCUAAGACUUCAGCUAGUAACAAUCAGAACGGAGCUAGUGCAUCCAAGACUUCAAUCCGAGCUAACAAGAAUGCAACUCGGUCGUUCAAGCCUGAUAUCGGUGCCACUGAGAAUGGAGCUGACCGGUGCAAGACUGUUGCUAUUGCUGGUAAGACUUCAACUCAGUAGCCAAACUCAGUAGCCAGAGAAGAGGAGAAAGAAUAUAGAUAUCAGGUAUCAGCUUUGAAGCAGAAGAAACUAGUUCAGGAUCGGAGUGGGAUCGGAGCUCUUCUGUUCUGGUACUAGGCUAAUUGACUGACUUGGCGGGUAGGGUGUAAUCCUAGAGGUCGGGAAUUGUCUUAGAGAAUGAAGCUGUUAAUCGAUUAAGACUAAAGUAAGCAGUCGAGGCACUAGAAUUGACCGCCUCGCAAACUAGAAUACUAUACUGAUUGACUUAUUGCUCGUACGAGUAUGGGCCUGAUCAUCCUGUUCUGAAAACUUAUAAUACUUCAAAGAAAGCCACCUAUAGGUUAUUCUGACUCAAAUCUCAAGUACGCAGCGGAAUUGUCUGUUCUUGUUUCAUCUUAUAAAGAAGCAGGGACAGAAAGAGUACACGCAACUAGAAGUGGAUAAUUGCCAGUUACAGUUCUAUGGUUUACAGCCCAAACUAGUAGAAAUGCCUGUGUUUGACUUUCAUCUGUCUUUGUUGCUAGCUGGGUAAGCCAGGGAAGCUGUGAUGCCCUAGUAGUAAUAUAAGAAUUCCACUCACUGGUAGUAAGAUCCGAGUGAAACUAAGAGGUGAGCUAGUGGUCCUGUUGCAUCUCAAGUAGUAGUCCAGGAAUUCCUACCUUUAGUACAGGAGCCGAGCCAGGAGUUUAUGAGUUUAAUCCCAAACUAGUAGCAGCCCAGUAGUAGCAGCACUUUAGUAGUAGUCCAGCCCUUAUGUUAAUGGUGAGAGUUUCGGUUUCAUCUGUAUUUGUAGUUGUAGCUAGAGGAUAGAUAGUCAAGGGAAGAAAGAGAACCGUAGUGCUAGUCUAGUUCACGGGCUCCUUAGCUAGUGUUCGGCUACUAUACCUCUUGUUCUUUAGUCAAACUAUCCUAGACAUUUCUUAGAGCUAGUCCUAUUGUUGCUUCAGAUGCCAAAUCCCUACUUUAGAGUUUCCAUUCGGACUUUCCAAUUAAGAGCACGCACGAAGUGUUAAAAAGAUCUAUUAUACCUGGCUAAUUCUCCUCUAGCUAAUCAAACUCGGGAUUACACAUGAAUAAGUCUCUCUGGGGCGCAUUUCUCGGCUUGGAGUGGCGAGUAUCAGAUUCGUACUAGCAGCAAUAAGAGUUUAACUUGGAAUGGAUAAUAUGGGUAUGAUCUAAAGCUCCGUAAUAGUAAUAUCAUAAUAGUAAUUGAUCUAAUAAAUAAUGGGUUUCAAAGUCAAGUAAUAGAAGGCCAAAGCCAGAGUCGAGUUGGGGUAAGAAGAAGAUAGUCGUCCAGUCCUGUUUAAUCAUCUAGUCCUGUUUUCUCAGUAGUAGUUAGUUGACAGAGGUGAGCUAGUAGGAAAGGAAGAAUCAAACUCAGCAGACUAAGAACCAAACCAGUAAAUCACAGAAUGCAACUCAGCAGUAUAAGAAUGGGACUCAUCGGUGAGCUAGUAGGAGCCUAAGAAGAAAACCGGGGAGUCCUAGAACGAAACAGGGGAGUAGUCCAGUUGGUAAGUAAACUAUAUUCUUAAAGGAAAGAGAACGGGUUGGAAGGAAAGAGAAGAGAGCCGAAUGAAGUGAAGUUAAUAGUAGCCAGAGUUCAGAGUGAUAGGAGCCCAUUCAAAAAGAAGAAGUUUCAGGGGAUUCCAAUCAGAUGGAUAAGGUAAGUGAGCAAGUGAAGGAGCUGUUUCAGCAGUAGGAGCAGUUCCUGUUAGGUCUUAGAGAUCUGAAGCUCCAUAUAUAAGUGUUGAGUAAGCCCGAAGCCCUUAAGUUAAUGUACUAGGCUCGGAUAGGCUUAAGUUCUUGUGUGAAGCAAGUAGUCAAUUGUUGCAUCAAUCCUAGGGUAGGGGAAAAGGAGGUCAAUACUUAUGCUAUGUGUUUUGGAGCCAAGCAGAUGCAAGCGGUAAGUGAAUAAGUAUCGUCUCUUUGAGGGCGAGUUGAGUCGGCGAGAUCAUAAGCGGUGCGCUUACGGGGAGUUUUCAAUUUCAAUGGAAUUCUUUGUUUACUCAUAGCAAGAUAAGAGUUUCACUCCAAUAGUGCUUAUCCUUAUUUCAAGGUAAAAGAGAAAUCAGGGUAUCCAUAAACCUGUUCUGAAAUCGAAGUUGGAGUUAAUGAUGUUUCUGUACUCCACUCAAAAGGGCUAAGGUAGGUCUGCCUUUAAGUACUAGAUUCUUUUAUUCCAUGAGACAAGUGAGCUCCGUUAGCGAGUUGUGCGAAGGAUGCUUCUGAUCCGGGCAUCUGAUCUCGUAGACUAGGUAGGAGGCGGGACAAGAUAAGAUGUGUAGUUACCAACAAGAGCGGAGGUAGACUUCAUGGAUGAAACUAAUUAGUAUACGCUUGGCUCUUUCGAAACUCAAUCCUUAAGAAGAUAGGGCUCUGGACUACUCCGACUACUCUACAGGUUGGGCAAGGGAGACAAAGACAGGACUUCCCUCUUUCUCAACUAAAUCCUUACUAAGAACAGAUAGAAUUGAGCUAGUUAAACUCAGACUGAAACCACUACCACUGAUUCCCAGCUACUGGGGAAGAGUAAUCAGAAACAACCUAGGUAGUUUAAGAACGAAACUCAGGAGUAACAGACCAAAUGGAAGAAUUGAACAGUGAUAGAGAUGAUCAGAAUUCCACUCAGUAGUAACAGAAUUAAUAUCGAACACUUGACUUGGUAAUAAAGGAAGGAACCAGAAAUCCUAUAGGAAGAAAUGAACUCUAAGGACAGUUUCUUAGUUGAAUGGUCAAUCCUUCGA